AUAAUGAUGUCCGGCAAUGCUUUGAUUGUCAUGCUUGGAUUUAUGUCUCUCAAGAGUAUACAAUCAGGGAGCUUUUGCUAGGCGUUGCUGUUUGUGUUAGGAUUCUCUCCGAAGAGGAAAGGAGUAAAAUGAACGAGAGCGAUUUGGGGAAUAGUCUUCGUGAUUACCUGACUACCAGGAAGUACUUGAUAGUUAUGGAUGAUAUGUGGAGAAAUGAAGCUUGGGAUAGGUUGGGCUUGUAUUUUCCUGACUCGGUGAAUGGCAGCAGAGUGUUGAUCACCUCACGCAAUAAAGAGAUUGGUCUUUAUGCUGAUCCACAAACCAUUCCCCAUGAACUUUCUUUUCUGACUGAAGAAGAGAGUUGGGAGCUCUUUCUCAAGAAAAUUUUUCUGGCUGGGAGUGCAAAUGCUGUUUGCCCAGAGAAUUGGAAGAGUUGGGAAAGAAAAUUGUAGCAAAUUGUGGGGGUUUGCCCCUUGCAAUUGUGGUCUUGGGAGGCCUUCUAUCAAGAAAAGAAAAGACACCGCUCUCCUGGCAAAAAGUACUGGACAGCCUAACUUGGCACCUAAAUCAAGGUCCAGACUCAUGUUUGGGGGUCCUUGCUUUAAGCUACAAUGAUAUGCCGUAUUACUUGAAGUCCUGUUUCCUUUACUGUGGUCUUUUCCCAGAAGACUCAGAAAUCAGGACAGAUAAGUUGAUCCGCUUGUGGGUUGCAGAAGGGUUUAUACAAAGAAGAGGAGAAGAAAUAGCGGAAGACGUCACGGAAGAUCACUUACAGGAAUUGGUACAUAGAAGCAUGAUUCAAGUGGCUGCCAGGAGUUUCGAUGGAAGAGUGAUGUCCUGUCGCAUGCACGAUCUGCUUCGAGACCUUGCCAUUUCUGAGGCCAAAGAUACAAAUUUUUUUGAGGGAUAUGAAAGCAUUGAUUCUACAUCCCCUGUUAGUGUUCGUCGACUAACCAUUCAUCAAGGUAAGAAGACUAAUUCUAAACACUUGCAUACUUCACGUAGUCUCCGAUCUUUCAUUUGUUUUUCUGUAUGCUUCCAAGAAAACAUUUUGAGAUCUUUACACAGGCGUGUCAAAUUGCUCACUGUACUGGACCUAGAACGCAUGCCUAUCAGUACCUUCCCAGAAGCCAUAGGAGAACUUAUCCACCUUAAGUACUUGUGCUUAAGGGGAACCUGCAUAAAAAGUCUUCCAUCGUCCAUAGGUCGUCUUACUAAUCUACAAACCCUAGACUUUCGAGGCACUUUAAUUGAAAUAAUUCCCUCUACCAUUUGGAAAUUGCACCAUUUGAGACAUCUAUACGGUCAUGGUGUGGUUUCAAGCCAGUCAGUGAUAGAUAAGUGCAGGAAUGGUCCUUUGAGUGUUGGCCACCUAACAAACCUCCAAUCGUUAGGUUUAAGAGCAGGCAGUUGGUGCUGUGGUGAAGGCUUGGGAAAAUUAAUUGAGCUUAGAGAACUGACAAUUGCAUGGACCGAAAUCGCACAAACAAAGAACCAGGGAUUUUCCGAGUCAGUAAAAAAGCUAACUGCUCUUCAAUCCUUGUGUUUGUAUCCUCGUAUAGGAGAGAAUUUUAACCAUGCCGCACCUCAUGCCUUUCUCAGACCACACUUACCUUUACCAUCUAAGUUUAAGAGGAAGGCUCGAAAGGUUCCCUGAUGAAAUUGAAUUCUACCCUCCAAACCUCGUCUCCUUGGAAUUGGAAUGUUGGAAUAUAGAGCAAGACCCAAUGGUGACCCUAGAGAAGCUGCCAAACUUGAGAUUUCUCAGAUUAUUCCAUUGUUCCUCUAUGUUAAAGAAGAUGGUCUGUACUUCUGGAGGAUUCCAGCAACUCGAAACCCUUAAGCUCUGGAAUUUGAAAGAAUUAAAAGAAUUGAUUGCGGAGGAAGGGGCAAUGCCUGAUCUGAAGGAUUUAGUAAUUGAUACUUGCCCUAAAAUGAAAAGGCUUUCCCAUGGAUUGCUGCAACGAAAAAAUUUGCAGAACCUAAGUUUGUAUGAUUUGUCUCCUGAGUUAAUGGAUGAGCUUUCUCGGAUAGAAGGAGAUCUGGAGAAGAUCUGCCUCGCCACCUCAAUACACGGGUGGAGGCGUACGGCAUCUUGAAGGCUCAGGAGAAGUUUCAUAAAGCGCUACCAGGAAAUGCUUGGACUGUACUGAAGAGCAUUUCCAAUGCAACAAAUCUUUCUAAGCUCGUCUUUUUCCUUGUUUUUUCUGCUUUUGGACUGUAAGAUGCUUCCACGUUUUCAAAUAAAGUGAUCAGUCAGUUUAUAAUUGAACCUCACUGGAGUUUUAAUAAGAGAAAACCAACAGAAUACAUGCAAGAGUAGAAGCCCGUACACUUCUAAAAGCUGAGGCAUGCUUAGGAAGUGUUUUUAAAAAACAGUUUUUAAAAAUAAAUUUAUAAUAUUUUCAUAAAUAAAAUUAUAUUUGAAAAUUGAAUUAUAAAAAACAGUUUUCGUUCUAAAAAAACAUGUAUAAUUAGUUAAUAAAAACGACUAUUAACAAUAAAUAAAAUGAAAACUUGUUUGGAAGUUGUUAUUGUUGGUUUUUAUUUAUUUAUUUAAAGUUGGGUAUUUUCUUUAAUUAACUUGAUAUUGUAAAAUUAUAAAUAAUUUUUACAUUCACACUUCAUUAAAAAUAAAAAAUAUUCCAUUUUCAAUUUUUUUUUGCAUCAAUUUUAAUUUUUUAAAAUAAAAUAUUACUUUGUAAACAUGUCUAAGUAUGUUUGAUUUCAAUAAUUGGUAAAUUAUUUGAGCAAAAUAUCAUAAAUUGGUAAAUAUUAAUAAUUGGAUUUUAUUGGAUAAAAUUUAUGAUAUCAAACAAUAAUGCAUUUGUAGACCCCCAUAUGGGGCUUGUUUUUUUUCAUUUGCUAUAGGUCACACUUCUUGCCAAGUGGAGGGCUCUUAAAGAGCCAGAUGCUGCUUUCUGGUUGGGUGGUCAGUGAAUCAGGUAGUAGGUUGGAAAUGCAGUGAGGUGUAGACACCUAUUGGAGGAUAUUCAGAAGAGCUUUUGGGCUGUUAGAGUGGAGUUGGGUGAUUUUUUUUGAAGUGUGAGGGGGACCCCCCUCUCUUACCAUGAAUCCUGGCCAGAUGGGACGGGUAAGCCAUACUGGCUGAUGCAUGAACAGGAGGAGGCAGGUGGUGACUUGCUAAGGAAGGUGAUUCCAAGAAGGGGGAAACAGAGAAGAAGAGAGAGGGGAGUUUAGCUUGAGAGGAGAGUUUGGCUGGAGAGGACUGGUGGGAAGGAGGCAUUCCUUGGUUGGUUGCUUGAGAGGAAGGAGAGCUGUCCGAUUUCUUGCCCACCUAGCUGGAGAGAGUUAUUUUGAGGUACGUUUAUUGUGUAUUCUUCGUCAGCUUCUAUUAGUGUGCUUUUCUACUUUGUUUUUGCUGAUUCUCGGAUGAUGAUUGUUGAUUGGGAGUGAAUACGUUCAUAUUUUUGCUAAUGGUUUUGUAGUGGUUUAGUUUGCUCUGGUUUUGAUUUCUCCAUGAGAUAUUUUUGUAACCACGUUUUACCUUUCAUUUGACACUCGUUUAAUCUUACCCACCAUCAUCUAAGCCUGUUGGUAUGAUAUGAAGCAUAGUUUGUCGGGCUCAUUUUCUUGUAUCUACUCUUUGUGCUCUGUUUUGUUAUCCUCCUUUGCUCUUGAUAUCCGUCCAUGGUACGCAUCCAUUUUCUCAUCCCUGCUUGAAGGAGAUCCUAGAAAAUCUGGAGUAGUUGUCAUGGCAGCAAAACUCAUCUCAUCAGCAUUCCCAUACCCAUUCUCGUUUAUUAUUCAUCAUUUUAUCCAACAUGCCUACGUCCCCAUCCAUCACUCCACUCCUAUUCCCGUUUAUCUUCAUCAUGCGUAAACCCCCACACAUCUCAUACCGGGAGGUGAUGUCUCAAGAUGAUAUAGGAAGCUAGUAUUUGAAUUUGUGGAAAGAAGGGCGGAUUUAGUGGUCUCAUGGGAAUACUAUGGCAUGAAGGUGGUGGUUCUAUGCUGAAGAGAUGGUGGACAAUGGUGGAUGUUUCUGGUCUGUCUGUGUUACAAAUCAAGACUUUGGUCUGACAGUGAGGAGAACCAGAAGGACGCAGCGCAUGGAUGAUAUUAAAGAGACUGAUGAUCUUUUCAGACCGCUGAAAGAGCCAAGGAAUUCAUAUGAUAUGGUACAUUCGGGCAAUGUAAGCUUUGGAGUAGAUGCAGUCCGUGUUACUAAGUCAAUUUCGUCACCUCUCAAGGACCCAUUGAUAGAAGUGCACCUAACUUAUAAGUCUCAGGCCUUCCCAUUCGAAAAUCAUGUUGUAGCCAAUAACAGGGCAUCGGGUCAGAUUUCUGAGAAGCUGAAUGUUUAAAUAUCCGGUGUUAAUGAUAUUAUCAUAUGGGUAAAUCACUCUUCAACUCAAUAUCCGGAUGCCAACUAUGAUGCUGUCAAGACCCCUAACUAGUAAAAAGCCUGUGUGAAGGCCUGUGAAUGGUAGAAUGAAGAAUUAAUCACUACCAUAUUCUCACCCUUCAUGCCCGUUUAACUCAUCAUCAAUACCCAUGUGUACACCCGUUUAAUCAUACCACCAAACCCGUUUAUCUCUCUAAACCUUCACUUACCUGUGGGAUCCUCCCUAAAAAAAUGUCACGUGGCUCUCUCUCCCUUGCGCAUGCAGACGGUCCCCCUUGCGACGUGCGGCAUAGCUCAUUCCACCCGGGGAAGAAUUCUUUCCGACCGACAUUCAACCUUCUCCGGAUGUCUCACAUCCAGAAUUCUGUCCGGCCGACGUUCCACCUUCUCCGGAUGUCUCACAUCCGGAAUCCUGUCCGGCCGACGUUCCACCUUCUCCCGAUGUCUCACAUCUGGAAUUCUGUCCAGCCAACGUUCUAUCUUACUUGGAUGUCUCACAUCCGGAAUUCUUCUCCACCGACAUUCCACCCGGGUAUCUCACAUCCAAAAUUCUUCUCCACCGACAUUCCACCCGGAUGUCUCACAUCCGAAAUUCUUCUCCGCCGACAUUCCACUCGGAUAUCUCACAUCCGGAAUUCUGUCCGGCCGACGUUCCACCUUCUCCGGAUAUUUCGCAGCUGGAGCUUGUUGCCGGGUGAGAGAGGAGGACGAUUCAACUUCCCUGGACAGACAUGUCCGGAUCCUCUAGUGACGUUUACCCGGGCAGCUUGGCUCGUCAGACACUCGCGAUUCACCGGAUCCAUUUCUGCCCACAAUCAAAAGGCAAACUCCGAUAAUACCGACGACCAAGUCUCCUGAACUGUCACUCAUCUUUAAUGCAAGAUAGAUUGGGCUUUGGUGGGGGCCCCACAAGCGUGAUUUUAUGAUUGAUUGGUGGAUUGAUUGAUUUGAUUGCUAUAUGUGAUUGAUUUACACUAUUCUAUGAUACACACACGAUUAUCCUGUGUUUAAUUGCUAACAUUUGUUUUCAUCGAAGUAAAUCGGUUCAUCACCCAGGUACAUUCUUUGUCUCUCCUAUUCAUUCAGUUAUUUUGUUUCGGGUGAUAUUCAUUUGGUAUCCAUGCUCGAUUAAUCAAUUGCCAUGAUUGCUUCAUUUUAUUAGUAGAGACCCGUUUUAGGGACUUAGAAGGGUGCUACGGUCUUUACCGUACCUUCCCGAUAAGUAACCUGACCCCCGAACCCGAUCCGGUUUUUCGUAGACCACCUUUUCCAAACUAAGGAGUCACACUUAAGGUUUUUUUCUUUCUUAUUUUGUUUACCCUUUAAAAAUAAAACAAAAAUAAGUGGCGACUCCAAGUCAUUUUUUUUAACCGAUUAAAUCAUUUUUCAAAAUAAAAAUCGAGCUCGCCAUCGAGUAGGGAACGCAUGAGCCGAAAUGCGGGGUCCACAAAAUGGCGACUCUGCUGGGGACACUUUUAGAGGGUCAAGCUUGAACUUAGGAUGAAGCAAAUGUGGCGUUUGAUGAUUCGGUCAGUGGAUACCUAUCUCUUGAUUGCACAUUGAGAGUUCCCGAUACUAUUGGAUGCAUGCUUGGGUGUUUGUUUUUACUUGGGACAUUGACAUGUUGACUAUGAUGAUUAUUUAUCUUGAUUGUGCAUUCUGAUUGUGGCGUUUUUUUUUCGUGCUUCAUAGCUAUAUAUGUUUGGGACAUUGAUAUGUUGAUUAUGUUAAUUGAUCAUCUUACCUUACUUAGCAUAGUGACUCUGAUUUUGCCAUGUUUGCUCUGAUUACCUCACAUAUAUAGACUCACCAUUGUAUAUCAUUUGAUUUGACAUGAUUGAUUCUCUCAGUUAUAUAUUAUCUUGUUUAUCAUAGAGCAUGCUAUCAUUUGUCAGAUAUUCUUCUUGAUUAGCUUGUGUGUAGAUUUGGAUGAUAUAUACCUGUUUUGCAUGACUGUCUGUUGCAUGACUCUUCUCAUCCUGAUGCGACUGCAUGAGUUGUGUGUCUAUGUGGAACACACACUUAUCCCCUUAUUUCCAAGUCCCUAGUCUCGGUCGACAUUGUUUUCCUUGCUCUCAUAUUUGAUAUGAGACUUGUUUGCUUUGUUUGCUCUUCGACCGAGCUAGUGAUUAGGAGUAGGGUUUAGCGAUGGGCUAUAUCUAUGAUUGGGAGCGUUCUGGAGGUGGUCAACAUAUUGAUGCUGAUUGGAGUCUGAACUUUGAAGACUUGUAUAGCCCAAAGCUAGAUUUCAGGAUAUUUGUGUGACCAGUGUGUCUUAUUUUAGUUUCAUAGGAUUUUCAGAUGCACCCACACCUUUCACUGUGCACUCUAGUUGACCAUUGAGCGUUGAGAGUUAGGAGAACUUUCACCAUAGGAGCCCCCUGGGAUGCGAGAUAGUGCAUGUGUGGAGGUGAUGACCCCCUUGGAUAGAAGUGCCCCGUCUCUUUGGAGGCGUGCAGAGGGUUGCAUACGCCGGAGGGUACGAUCGCUUCUGCUAGGGAUCCUUUAAAGUCCACCAUUUUUCUUUUUAGAGCCACCUUGACCUCGUAGGUUGAGCUGUAGAUCCUUCGAUUAGGACUUCCUUCCCUACACGUGAGUGCAUCUGAGGGCCUUCAAAGCCUCUUUAGUUACAGUUCGGAUCCAAUACUUCCUCAUUUGGUCUUCAGUUGAGAGUGCUUAGAGAUCAGUGCGAGUUUGAGAAUCAGUUGGACCACCCCUUAUUGUAUGGUUUUGGUUUCUUCUUGUCGCUCAUUGAGUUUAGCACACUUUCUUCCUAGGACUUUAGAUAGUCUUCUUUUCUUAGGCUGACACAUUCUUUCAGUUUGUUGUCACUUUCUACUUAAUGUUUUGAGAUAUGUUCAUUGAUUAUGCUCACUUUUUUAUAUUCUUCACCUACCAUGGGCUUGAUACUUCAUUCUUUGGUUGAGUCGCCUGAUUCUAUUUUCAACCAGAUUUUCAUUACAAAAAGGUGAAAGGCAGGUUUUCACAUUCACACCAUUUUUUUUGAGAUGUUCGCCUUUACCACCUAAUCAUUUUUCUUUAUUGAGUUUGUGUUGAAAGUGAAUCAGAGAUAUUGUGUUAUAGAUGGAGUAUCGAUCUCAUGACAGUGUUGUUUUUCACACCUCAUUCAUUUUUUGGAUCAUUGAUAGAAAUUCUUUAGUCACAUUUGUAGCCAUUUCACAGUGGACACCUUUAUGACCUUAGAGUUUCUGUCAUAUUUCCAGUUAUAGAUUGCCAUCACAGGACCAUAUAUCAAAUGAUGUGUUGUACUUUUGACUUAGGACAUCUAUUCAUUUGCGCGUCAUGAUCACUCUAGUCUGACCUAUCAUGGAGGAUAUUGAGCCUUUUGACCUAGGAUUAGGAGAUUGACCUAGGGAGUUCGAGACUGUGACCCAUUUCACCUUCCGCUUAGAGCAGUACCAUAUCCAUAUCCAUACCCUGACUCUGUGGACUUGUUGACCUACCCAUUUUGAGCCUGACAUGACACCACCCCUUGGCACCAUUACAUGACUUUACUACCCUUGUUCGCCUUAUCAUGCUACAAUACCAUUGCCUUUCCUUUCCAUCAUUUCCUUGAUCUGACUAGGUAGAGUCCGAGAUGGUUAGACCCGAGGUGAGCUUUACAUGAUGAUAGAUGGAUCGUGAUGAGAGAGUGGCUUGACUGUUUGACGAUAUUGUUGAGAUGGAGGGGUUAUCAUGGAGCAUCCAGAUUCGAGCCAUUGCACAUGACUUCAGAGAGUCGGGAUGAUUAGACAUGGUGAUUUUAUGAGAUGAUGGUGAGUGGCUUGUGAUGAUAGAGUGAGUUGAUUUUCAGAGUACAUUGAUGGUUGUCAUAGAGCAUCGGUGGGAGCUUUCGCACAAUUUCAGAGGAGUCGCCAUGACUAUGUUGGAUGGAUGCCAGUCUUUAGUAUUGGCCAUGUGAGAUCUCGAAAGCACGAUGUUCGAGGUUUUGGUCAAAGGAUGGGUGGCCAUCAUUUCAUGAGCCUACUUACUUUAUUACCCUCACAUAUAAAGUUACCCGUUGCUAGCCCUUUGAGCCUCACACGAGCACAUAGCCUUUUCUUUCAUCACCUCAUUUACCUAUUACACCGGGUUGGAGACCCUAUAGUGCUUGCAUGCUAUGUUUGGAUACAUCAUGAGUUCCAGACCUGACAUACAUAUUCAGGCAUCAUUCCUCACUCUUCAUUGUGAUAUUUUCCGUUUGGACAUCAUUUCAUCACUAUUUUCCGAUAUCACAUACCACCACUUGUGAUAUUUGUUCUUUGUCUUUUCCUUUCCUCAUUGAUUACUCGACAUUAUUCGUGUUUCACCUUGAGUGGUGGUUUUUCACACGUCACUGCAUGGAGGAUUGUCACAUUCUUUCCUAUCAUUCACCCCAUGGGCAGUGGUUCAGAGAUGUUAUUUUGAGAGGUUGUCUUGUUAGUGAGGAUUCAUGUUACAUUCGUAUGUGGAGAGGGUUUGAUCAUUUGGGUAUGUAUUUUCAUGGGAGUUCAUUCAUUAUUGAUUAGAGUAUGCGCAAAAAAAAAAAAAAAAAGAGGCGCAUUCUUCAUUGUAUCAUUCUCCAUUGGGCAUGUGUAUGGACGUGCCGGUUUGCUUCAUUCAGUUUAUGUGUCAGAGAGAGUUCGUAUGAGAGCUUAUUUAUGAGAUUCUAUCUUGGUGUAUAUUUCGAGUGAGAGUAUGAGUCAUCCAUUCGAUUUUUGUGAGAGAGACGAGCGACUUUUCUUUAGUAUCUCUGGAUCCUUGUUCUAUCCAUCAUUCCAUCUAUUUCGGAUGUGACUACUUUCUAUGCUUUGAUGCAGGAUGACCAUCACUCAUUUUUCUACCUCUUUGUUUUCUUGUAUCUUUGUUUUGUUCCUCCAUUCCACUCUACCUCAUCUGAUUUCUUUCUUUUCUCAUCCUUCUUGAUGUUUGACUUGAGUUCAGCAUCUACACUUUAUUCUUGCUUAUUCGAUAUGUUCAUCCCUUUAUCAUCACUUUUGGUGUAGGGACCCCUAGAUUCGGGACUCAUGACGUUUUCUAUGCAUUGCAUUUCAUGCACGAGGGGGUAUGGGGAUUAUAUCAUUGGGAUCUUUGAGCCUAGUUUCCUUUCAUUUCUUUCACUCUAUUACCUUAGCCUACGUUACGUCCCGUGUCCGAAGACCACCCUGAGGCCAUUACUUUACAUCGUGUUUGACAGCUCCCAUGUGGGCAAUACUCGAGCUUGGUCGGAGAUUAUUUCUCAGAGCAUGAUGGAUGGGGAGUUGAGAUGAUGAUUUACAUUGGGCCAUACCCCUCUUAUCAGUGAUGGAUUUUCAGAGGUGACAUUAUCUACACUGGGGCAUACCCCGCUCAUCGAUGACAGUUUCUUAGUGGGAUGACGUUUUGCACUGAGGCAUAGUCAGUUGGUUUUUUCACUCGGUUUAUGAUGGAUUGGGAGUUGUGGGAUGACCCUACACUGGGGCAUAGCCAUUUCAGAGGGUGUUUUUAUUGGAGAUACAGUCACUCUACUUGGUAUUCUGCAUUGGGACACACUCCUCUCAUUGAUGAUGGAUUUUUCGAGAUGAUGGCUUAUUUUGAGACAUGAUUGCUUCAGAGAUUGUGCGUGCAUUGAGGGAUGACAUUGACCUUGUUCUGAGGACACAUACUGAGGCAUAGUUGUCUCAUUGGUGAUGGACUUUGAUUGUUCAUUGGAGCAUAAUCACUUCAGUUGGUUUAUAUCGGGGCAUAGCCACCACAUUCACAUUCAUGGAGCCCGGGGAUUCUGAUUCAUAUGGAUUACGUUGAGAUGUUUCCGUUUUGGCACCAGGGGUAGAGGUUGAUUGAUUUGUUGACUCGGAUACACUAUUUUACAUUAGGGCGUAGCCGGGAUGGAGAGCAUUUUUCAUUGGAGCAUAGCCACCCUAUUUGGAUCCUUUACAUUGGGGCAUGUCCAUCUUUUGGAGGGAGAUCAGAUUGGUUCUUGACAUUGGAGCAUCUGGCGAGUGAUAUGGAGAUCAUUGGAUUAUUUCAUGUUGUUCCCAUUGCAUACUGGGGCAUAGCCGCCUAGUUGGAUGUUUUGACAUCGAGAUUUGACUUCCUAUUUGUGAUUACUGCUUUUCGAUGGAUUAUGGAGCUGUUGAUACCUCGGGUUUAGUCUUCUUGUCAUACUUGGACGAUCUCGGAUACAUACCUUUCAUCUCGUACUCAGUUAUUUCACCUUGGAUACUUUCAUGCCUUCCAUCAUACUAGAGCCUGAUCAUCACCUUAUUUUAUCCUACACAUCCCACCGUGACGCAUGACCUCACCCUUUUCUCAAUUAGGAGGAGACGUGGAUCAGUCCUCGAUCACCUUGGUUGUGUUGUCAUACAUCUUUUGGACUUUAGGUUCAACAUCUUCCAUGAUGGUAGGGCCUGACAGAUUGCCGAUUUAUUAGUGAUGAUGCUUUCAUUUUGACAGUUGGCACGAUGAGUGUUGAUUUUUGUUUGCUCUUUGCAUUUCGAGCAUUGGUCAUCAUUGUUUUAUUCAUCAGUUAGUUUUGUAGUGUCAGCAUGGUGUCACGAUGCAUGGUCCUAUUUGGCAUUACCUAUUUGAGGUUGGGCAUUUCCGUUACUUGAUGGAUGAGCAUAUUUCAGAGCACAGUAGUUUUGAGACAUUGUAUAUCUUAGUCUGUUUACUGUCACAUACUGGGGCAUACCCUCCUUCCCUGGAUCACUAGACCUUCCACAUGUUUCAUUCACUUUUCGAUCUAGUUGUUGACCCCUAAGAGUUGCAUAUUGAGGCAUACCCUCAUUCCCUAGGAUCAUUGGACCUUUCAUAGGCUUCAUUAUCUUUUGACCUAGUUGUCGAUCCUCAUGAGUUGUCAUACUAGGGCAAAUCCCCUCCAACCGAGUCUACUUGUAUCUUCCUCUUAGUAUCCUCUGACUUUGGGCCACUUGAUCAGAUCAUUGUCCUUUUCAGUUUACGUUUUCGGGACCGCACCUAUAUUGAUCGGUCAUCUUCUUGUCAGUUUGGGUUUUUGUCUUCGGGACCGCACCUAUAUCGAUCGGUCAUCUUCUUGUCAGUUUGAGUUUGCGUUUUCGGGACCGCACCUAUAUCGAUCGGUCAUCUUCUUGUCAGUUUGAGUUUGUGUUUUCGGGACCGCACCUAUAUCGAUCAGUCAUCAUCUUGUCAGUUUGGGUUUUUAUCUUUAGGACCGCACCUAUAUCGAUCGGUCAUCUUCUUGUCAGUUUGGGUUUUUGUUUUCGGGACCGCACUUAUAUCGAUCGGUCAUCUUCUUGUCAGUUUGGGUUUUUGUCUUCAGGAUCGCACCUAUAUCGAUCGGUCAUCUUUUUGUUAGUUUGGGUUUUUAUUUUCGGGGCCGCACCUAUAUCGAUCUGUCAUUUUCCAUGUCAGUUUGUGUUUGGGGCCGCACCUAUAUCGAUCGGUCAUCAUCUUAUUAGUUCGAGUUCAGUUUGAGUCGGGGCCGCACCUAUAUCGAUCGACCGUGUUCCUAUCACUUUCAUGUUCAGUUCGAGUCGGGACCGCACCUAUAUCGAUCGGUCAUUUUCUAUGUCAGUUUGUGUUUUCGGGCCCGCACCUAUAUCGAUCGGUCAUUUUCCAUGUCAGUUUGAGUUUGAGUCGGGGCCGCACCUAUAUCGAUCGGCCAUCUCCUUGUCAUGUUAGUUCAGUUUCAAUCGGUCAUCAUCUUAUCAGUUUGAGUUUGAGUCGGGGUUGCACCUAUAUCGAUCGGUCAUCUCCUUAUCAUGUUAGUUCAGUUUUUUUCGAGACCGCACCUAUAUCUAUCGGUCAUUGUUUUAUCAGUUUGUGUUGGGUCUUGUUCGCCUCCGAGUUGCGCCUACGUAGUUGAGUCUUGUUUUAUAGUUAGUGAUUCGAGUCGUACCCUGUGUUUGGAGAGUAGACCUUAUUAUCUUAUUUUUCGCAUGAUGUACUCUCAUUUCACUUAGUGAUAUUGUUGUUUUCUUGGGUAUGUGUUUUUGUCUUCUUUUUAUUAUUAUCAUUGUUUCGUAUCAUGCAUUUUAUGUGUUGUUAUUUUGAGUAGCAUCGUGUGUCACUUUGUUUUUGUCUCGUGCAUGUGUUUGCCUUAGAGUCUUGGACAAUUUUAGUGUCGUGACUGGUCCCCGAGCAGAUAUUGAUGGUAUGAUGGUUAUGAUACAGAGCACAUUGAGAUUAGACUUCUUUAGUUGAGGUUCACCAUGUCAGACGAGAUCGCACCCAUUACUCUUACUACUCUUUAUGAGAUGAUGGUGGAUUUGACACAGAGGGUUGAAAGGAUUGAGCUUAUUUUGUCAGAGCAUCCAUCGUCAUCGAGAGGAGCUCCAGGAGUAGCGAUGCCUUCAUCGCCACAUUUAACUUCACCGACAUUUGUUACUUUGGGUGCCUCGCAUCCACGACCUCGCCCGCAUUCAGUGCUCCAGCAGCAUUCCUCGUCCAUUUCAUUGGCUACGUCGACAUGACCUCCAUCCCGGCUUCGGGGCCCUCUAGUUAUUACAGUUCCUCAGGAGCGACUUUACCCUCGUCGACGAUGUCGGAGACACUAUUCAGACUUGAGCACACCCCUGAGCAAAGUUUUUGAGACGUUCCAGGCCAUGGGAUUUUUGGCUCCUCUGGCUCCUAGGGCACUUCCAGAUCCUGUGCCUUCCCAGUUUCGACUUGAUUUAUAUUGUACGUACCAUCAGUCAGCAGGGCAUCACACUGAUCGUUGCACUGCUCUACGACAUGCCAUAUAGGACAUUGUUGAUUUUAGGACGUUUGGGCAUCCUCAGUCCGAUAUGUUUCCUAUUCCUACCUCAGCUCAGGCCAUGCAUGCAGACUCCCCUUUACCAACAGUCCCUGAUCUUAUUGAUUUGGGCGAUUGACUCAUGAUUGGCUUACCUUGGUACAGUGGUGCUCAGUUUUUGUUCCUUCUAUGGCCAGAGAUGUGAUGACAGGACCAGUCACUGUUUUUGUUUUUGUUUGUUUGGUCUUGUUUUGCUUUUGACUUUUAGAGACUGUAACUCGAUUCUUGAGUAUUGUCUUUGUUAUCCUUCUUUUGCAUGAUGUACUCAUCGGUUAUCUGAUGCGACUCAUGGUAGCUUAGCUUUAAAGGCAUAUCAACAAAAUUUAUACCUUAAAUACUAUUACUAAAGUAGCCAAGCUACUAUAGCAUAGUGGUUCUAGGAUCGUUCACUGGGAAGGGUUUUCGCAAACACAAGUGAUAUUCAAUUUAGGAAAAUAGGUGAUUUUCUUAUGGAUGUUAGCUUUAAAAGAAAAUGUAAAUGUUUUAGAAAGAUUUAAACUAAUUUAAGCUAACAUUAAAGACUAAAAUGAAAGGGUGUAAAAACAAGUUUCUCAAAGAUAGGAUAGCUAUGCUCUGGCUCUUAUGCAAAUUGGAAAUCUCAGGAUAGGCUCCUCGCGUUGGGGUUGCAACUAUGGUGAUGUUUGCUUCCCGAACCGGUAUGGAUUUAGCAAAUCAAGUUUUAAUCCUUUAAAAUGGCAAACAGAUGGCAGUGAAUUUCAUCAGUGGUUAUUCACCUUAGACUUCCUUUGAAUGGCUCGUAAGAGAUAACUAGUAGUCUAAAGCUAAAAGCUUACCAAAUAUUGGCAACUCAAAGUCAUUCUAGGUGAUAAACUCACCUUUCAAUGGCCAUUGAAAUUGGUUCUAAUGGAUUAAUCCAAAACUUGGAAUUGAAAACCUCACCUUCCAAUAGCUCGUAGGAGAUAACUAAUGGAUAGAAAUCCAAAAGCUUAUCAAGUAUUGGCCGUUGGAAGUUGUCCAAAGGAAAUAAAAAACCAAACUUUGCAUUAAUGAACCAUUAAUGAAAAACGACUACCUUACCUUCCGGGUGCGAGAAAUUUCCAUGGGAUUGCAUCCAAGCCAUCACAUAACAUCCAUACUUUGAGAAACUUAAAAGGUUUUAGCCUCUCAUCCUUGGGGAUUUCAUCCACCAAGGAUGUUUGGCUACUAAGAAAAUAGAAAUGGGGAAGAACCGGAGAAGAGAGAAAAAAAAGAACUUUAUAUAUUUCUAUAUCUAUAUAUCAAUAUUUGUUACAACGGAUGCAAGGGGAUAUAAAUAGAGAAGUUUUUCCAACCUUCCUAGCUAAUAAAUCUUAUGAUUGGUGGAUUACAAGGAGAAGAAUGGAAAUUUAUACAAAAAUAUCUAAAAGAAAAGAUCUAAAGUGGAGUCGGCAGAAACAGGGGAAAAUUCGCACCACGCAUGGGGUGUGCGAAUGGUGUGCGAGUUUCGCACACCGUUCGCACAGCUGAGGGGGUGUGCGAGUUUCGCACAAGCCUGGAGCAGUUUUUUUCGAAGGCCAUAUCUUUCUCGUUUCAGCUCCAAAUCAUACACGGUUUGAAGCGUUGGAUUCUUGACUUCCUGAGCUUUGAAAUGGUAUAUAGCAUGUAGAAAAUGGACUUCGGGAAGUGCUCAAAAAGUGCCAAAGAAGACUGCAGCUGCUGUCCUCUAUUUUCCUCUUUGCUUCUUUUUGCUUCUCUUUGCUUCUCUUUGCUUUUCUCCUUUUGUUGGCUUGCUUUGGUGUAGCUAAAAGCUUGCUUUAACUUUUCCAAGUAGCUCCUCCAUCAUUUGGCAUGCUUGAAUUGAUUCAUAAGCUGAUAUAAACAUGUAAACUUGCCACAAAAUGGUUAAAACCAAUUACUAAGGACCUUAAUGAAUUAAUUGGGUUAAAUGAGUAUGAUUACUACUCAAAGGUGCUUAAAACCAUUAUAAUUAGGUCUACAAAAUAGCACUUUUUGGUAGUAAUCAUUAUCCCAUUGGCUGUCUUUUUCUUUAUGGACAUAUGCUUGUGUUUUGUGAUAUGAUGUGUUGUUCUUUUUACUUGAGGCAUCUCUUCACUUGCACAUUGUGGUCUUGAGGCUUGACCUGUCAUGGAGGAUAUUGAGCCUAUUAGCCUAGGAUCAGAGAUUUGACUUAGGGAGUUCGAGACUGUGACACAUCUUCUUAUGAUCAGAGCAGUACCUUUCUCACUUCCCGCACCUUGUCUUUGUUUUGAUCUACAUUCAUCCAUCCAUUGUGAGCUUUGCACAGCAUCACCCUUGUGACCAUUAUAUGACCUUUCCAUCCUCGGUUUUCCUAGCUUUACACAUCCCUUCUCUGAUUCGACCAGGUAGAGUGUGAGGAGUUUGAGCCCAUGGUUGAUCUGGCAUGGCGAGAGUUGGCUUAUGAUCUUUGGGUGGCUUAUGAUAAGUGGAUUGGUCGAUUGCUUGAUGAGACUGUCACUUAUUUUGUCGUGAGUAUAGAGAUUGAUAUUGUAUGAUGAGAGUUGGCUUGUGAUGGGCAGUAUUGCUUGAUGAGAUCACCGUUUACUUUGCCUGAUGAGUACGGUUGAUACAUGAUUCUAGAGGGUUGAUGUGGUUAUAUCAGAUGGACAUCGAUCUUUAGUAUUGAUCAUUUGAGGGCUUGAUAGCACGAUGUUUGAGACCGUGGUCGCAGGAUGGGUGGCCUUCAUUUCGGUUAGCUCACACCCUAUUACCUUUAUUGACAUCUAGACCAUUGCUAGCCCUUUGAGCCUCGCAUGAGCAUCAUAGCCUUUUAUUUCUUAUAGCCUUGCUCACCUUCUACAUCGGGAUAGGGGCCCUUCAGUGUAUGCAUGCAUUGUUUAGGAGUUUCAUGAGCCUUGGACCGAGGGGCACAUCUUUCUCAUUAUCUUUUCCUAUCAUUGCGUCAUUACAUUUCAUCACAUCUCGUUGGUUCUUCAUCCUCUUCUUUAUUAUAUCUAUCAUUUGUUCCGCUUCAUUUUCUUCCACCCCGAGUGGUAAUCCUCCUCAGUUCAUUACAUGGAGGGUAGUCAUGUCAUUUUCCACCAUCUAUCCUACGGACGUUGAUCCGGGGAUCUUAGUUUGAGAAGGUCACAUCAUCAGAGAGAGUUUAUGUUACAUUGACGUUUGAGAGCAUGUUUAUCCAUUUUUUACCUCAUCUUUGUGGCUUAUUGGUUUGCGUUCAGAGCAUGUAUAUUUGUAUGUAUGUAAAAAAAAAAAAAAAAAAAAAAAAAAAAUGAAAAAGAAAAAAAAUGAAUGAAAAAUAAAUAGGUGCAUGGGUGUAUAUUAUUCUCUAUCAUUGAGAGUGUAUAUCAGUGUUCGAGAGUCGCUUUGUUGGAUAUGUCUAUUGAUGGGAGUUUGUAUGUGAGCUCCCUAAGACCUUUCAUUCUUCGUAUUCAUUUUGUUGUACAUUUUGAGAGUGAGAUGAGUGGCCUUCUCUUAGGAGCUUUGGGUCAUUGUCCAUUCCAUCAUUGCAUUCAUUAUUGACAUGACCUCCUUUCAUAUUUGAUUUGAGCAGAUCAUCACUUGUUCUCGUAUUCUAUGCUUCAUUAUCAUCCUCGUUUUCAUUUCUGAUUCAUCAUUUUUAUUUAACCUCUUAUUCCGUUCUUACAGUGACCUCAUUUUCGGGUUUGAUACCCUCUUCGCAUCAUCAUUAUACAUCUCGUCAUCAGUUCGGUUUUUUCUUCAUUGCAUCAUCAUUGUUACCAUGUUCACAGUAGGCAUUUUCAGGUCCAUGGCUCACGAUAUUUUCUAUACAUGUUGCAUUUUAUACAUGAGGGCAUGAGUUUUGAUCAUUGGGUAUUUGGGCUUAGUUUCCCUUCAUUUCUAUCACCCUAACCUUCGUUACGUCCUGAGUCUUAAGACCACCCUGAGGCCAUGACAUCACACAUUGUGUUUGAUAGCUCUUAUGUGAGCGAUACUUGGGAUUGAUUCAAGAGCAUUUUGAUUGUGAUGGACCAGGAGUUAUGGUAUGGCCUUACACUGGGGCAUAGCUAUCUUAGAGAGUUUUUUUUUUUUUAUCGGAUGACCAUUAUGUCGAGGCAUACUCUUCUUAGUCGAUGGCGGAUUUUUGAGCCAUGUCCAUUCCUUGGAGGAUAUCGGAUGCCCUUUUUCACAUUGGAACAUGAGACAUGAUUGACGCAUUUCAUCUGGUGUACUUUACACAGGGGCAUACCCCCCUUUUAGUCGAUGAUGGUUUUGAGGCGUAGCUGUUCCUUGGAGGUGGUCAGAUUUCUUUCACAUUGGAGCAUGAGACAUGAUUGGCGCAUUUCAUCUGGUGUACUUUACACAGGGGCAUACCCUUUUUCGGUCGAUGAUGGUUUUUAGGCAUAGUUGUUCUUUCAAGACGAUUAGAUUCAUUUCACAUUGGAGUACGGGAUAUGAUUGGUUGAUAUCUUUGACGUGAUCACAGGAGCAUAGCCUUCUCAUCAUUGUUGACAUUUUUUGAGAUGAUUGGAUCGGGACACGGGCGCUUAUGAGAGCAUGCAGCGGAGUUUAGUCAUUUCAGGGUUUGCCCUAUACAGGGGCAUAAGCCUUUCAUUGGCGGUUGAUCUUAGAGAUACCAGUUCACAUUGGGACAUGUUUUUUUAGAGGAGGUCAGAUACUCUCUUCACGUUACCAUGAUGACUUUGAAGAGGAGAGAUCCAUUUUGAUCAGAUGAUGUAUAUUGGUUGUACUCCUCUCAUUGAUGUUUGAUUCAGAGAUGCUUGCACUGGGGCAUAGCCCACUCAUCGAUGAUGAUUUUGUGAGAUGACAGUUUAUGCCAGACACAUACUUCCUAAAUUUUAUCUUGCACUGAGGGCUUACCCAUUUUGGGAUGAUGCAUUCAUACUGGGGCAUAGCCACCUUGUUGAUUUUGACAUUGAGACUCCACUUUCUAUUUAUGAUUACAGCUUUCGAUGGAUCAUAGAGUCAUUGACACCUUGGGUUCAGUCUUCUCAACAUAUUUGGUCCGAUUUGGAUAUUCACUUUCCUUUGUUACACACCCAUACAUCCUACAUUGGACACCAUUAUACCUGCACCCAUCUUAUCAGAGCCUUACAUCUUUUGAGCCCACAUAUUUCAUCGUCUUACAUGACCUUAUCCCAUUCUCUUUAUCAGAGGAAGAUACAGACUAGUCUUGAGCUUUCUGGUUGAGUUUUCACAUGCCUUUGGACAUUAGGUUCAACAUCUCCCAUGAUGGUAGGGCCUAUUAGAUUGUUGAUGCACUUGUGAUGAUGUACUCAUAUUGAUAGUUGACAUGUCGUGUUUUGAUUUGCUUACAUUUCAGACCUAGAGUUUUGGUCAGCAUUUGUUUAAUCCAUUAUUUUAGUUUUGCUUUGUCAGCAUAGUUUCGAUGAUGCUUGGACUUGUUUUAGCAUUUGUUCAUUGAGGCUCUGUAUAUGUUUUUUCAUUGCAUCAUCAUUGGGCAUAUCCCAGAGUGUCUUGUUUGGUGACAUUCUAUGUCUUAUGUUGGUUACUAUCUUACAUUGGGGCAUACCCCCAUCCUUGAGUUCAUCAGACCUUUUGAGGACUUUCUCACUACUCAGUCUAUUUCUUGAUCUUUAUGGGUCGUCACACUGGGGCAUACCCCCAUCCUUGAGUUCAUCAGACCUUUUGAGGACUUUCUCACUACUCAGUCUAUUUCUUGAUCUUUGCGAGUCGUCAUACUAGGGCAUACCCCUUUAGCGCUUUUCUACUGGGGCAUUCCCCCAUCUUUGGGUUUAACACAUCUCGUGUAGGUUUCAUAGUUGUCUGACUCAUUUGUCGAUCUUUAUGAGUUAUCACAUAGGGCAUCCCCCUACUGUCAGUUUGUUUAGGGCAUCCCCCUACUGUCAUCUUGUUUAGGGCAUCCCCCUAUUGUCAUCUUGUUUAGGGCAUCCCCCUACUGUCAAUUUGUUUAGGGCAUUCCCCUACCGUCAAUUUGUUUAGGGCAUCCCCCUUCUUUCAGUUCUCACCACCGUAGAUCAGACAUCUAUGGGCUCGUUUCAGUUUUCACCACCAUAGAUUUUCGUCUGUGGGCUUUGAUUAGUUAUAUCACCACCAUAGAUCGGACAUCUAUGGGCAUUUCAGAUUUAUCACCACCAUGAACUAGCUAUCUAUGGGCAUUUCAAAUUUAUCACCACCAUGGAUUAGCUAUCUAUGGGCAUUUCAGUUAUUUCACCACCAUGGAUUUUCAUCCUUGGGCUUUCGAGAUUAUCACCACCAUGGAUCAGCUAUCUAUGGGCAUUUCAGUUAUUUUACCACCAUGGAUUUUCAUCCUUGGGCUUUCGAGAUUAUCACCACCCUAGAUUUUUAUCUGUGGGCCUUUGAGAGUUUCACCACCAUAGAUUGGCAUCUAUGGGCAUUUUUAUUGUAUCACCACCGUAGGUCUUCACCUAUAGGCUUUCUAGUUUAGUGUUUAGGUUUAGUUUUUUUGGUUUAGCUUCCAGAGCUAUUAUUUUUCUUAGUUUAGUGUUUAGAGUCAGUCUUGUCAUUCAGAGUCACAGCUCCUAGCGUUCAUAUUCACUGGCAUUGCACAUCUUACCCUCAUGGUUUUGCAUUCGUCAUCGGUUUUUCUCACUUCGUUACCCGGUGCUUAUCGCAUAUUCAUCUCGGAGUCCACAUAGGGCAAUCUCCUUUGGACACAUUCUUGUUCGUACUCCAGGGCGGUUCGACCGUUACUCAUAUUUAACAUCGAUCUUCGAGUCACUUUUGGAGACAUCUUAGAGGGAGCAUGGAUCCUUAGUGUGGCUUCAGAGGCAUUUUGAGACAUCUUUCUCUUUUAGGAUUAGAGACUUUGUGUUCGUCUACUAGCCUGAGUGAGUUUGCAUUUCACUAGUAUCCCUAUGGGGGUCUCCUUGGUUCUUCGGUAGAAUUCACUUCAUUCCACUCACUAUUCACACUUGCUUUUCACUCCAGUGUUCAUAUUCCUUACACUCGUGAGCUCUACCGAAGAGGGACAUAUUUGUAGACCCCCAUAUGGGGCUUGUUUUUUUUCAUUUGCUGCAGGUCACACUUCUUGCCAAGUGGAGGGCUCUUAAAGAGCCAGAUGCUGCUUCCUGGUUGGGUGGUCAGUGAAUCAGGUAGUAGGUUGGAAAUGCAAUGGGGUGUAGACACCUGUUGGAGGAUAUUCAGAAGAGCUUUUGGGCUGUUAGAGUGGAGUUGGAUGAUAGGAAGGUGAUCCAAGAAGGGGGAAACAGAGAAGAAGAGAGAGGGGAGUUUAGCUUGAGAGGAGAGUUUGGCUGGAGAGGACUGGUGGGAAGGAGGCAUUCCUUGGUUGGUUGCUUGAGAGGAAGGAGAGCUGUCCGAUUUCUUGCCCACCUAGCUGGAAAGAGUUAUUUUGAGGUACGUUUAUUGUGUAUUCUUCGUCAGCUUCUAUUGGUGUGCUUUUCUACUUUGUUUUUGCUGAUUCUCGGAUGAUGAUUGUUGAUUGGGAGUGAAUACGUUCAUAUUUUUACUAAUGGUUUUGUAGUGGUUUAGUUUGCUCUGGUUUUGAUUUCUCCAUGAGAUAUUUUUGUAACCACGUUUUACCUUUCAUUUGACACUCGUUUAAUCUUACCCACCAUCAUCUAAGCCUGUUGGUAUGAUAUGAAGCAUAGCUUGUCGGGCUCAUUUUCUUGUAUCUACUCUUUGUGCUCUGUUUUGUUAUCCUCCUCUGCUUUUGAUAUCCAUCCAUGGUAUGCAUCCAUUUUCUCAUCCUUACUUGAAGGAGAUCCUAGAAAAUCUGGAGUAGUUGUCAUGGCAGCAAAGCUCACCUCAUCAGCAUCCCCAUACCCAUUCUCGUUUAUUAUUCAUCGUUUUAUCCAACAUGCCUACGUCCCCAUCCAUCACUCCACUCAUAUUCCCGUUUAUCUUCAUCAUGCAUAAACCCCCACGCAUCUCAUACCGGGAGGUGAUGUCUCAAGAUGAUAUAGGAAGCUAGUAUUUGAAUUUGUGGAAAGAAGGGCGGAUUUAGUGGUCUCAUGGGAAUACUAUGGCAUGAGGGUGGUGGUUCUAUGCUGAAGAGAUGGUGGACAAUGGUGGAUGUUUCUGGUCUGUCUGUGUUACAAAUCAAGACUUUGGUCUAACAGUGAGGAGAACCAGAGGGACGCAGUGCAUGGAUGAUAUUAAAGAGACUGAUGAUCUUUUUAGACAGCUGAAAGAGCCAGGGAAUUCAUAUGAUAUGGUACAUUCGGGCAAUGUAAGCUUUAGAGUAGAUGCAGUCCGUGUUACUAAGUCAAUUUCGUCACCUCUCAAGGACCCAUUGAUAGAAGUGCACCUAACUUAUAAGUCUCAGGCCUUCCCAUUCGAAAAUCAUGUUGUAGCCAAUAACAGGGCAUCGGGUCAGAUUUCUAAGAAGCUGAAUGUUUAAAUAUCCGGUGUUAAUGAUAUUAUCAUAUGGGUAAAUCACUCUUCAACUCAAUAUCCGGAUGCCAACUAUGAUGCUGUCAAGACCCCUAACUGGUAAAAAGCCUGUGUGAAGGCUUGUGAAUGGUAGAAUGAAGAAUUAAUCACUACCAUAUUCUCACCCUUCAUGCCCGUUUAACCAUACCACCAAACCCGUUUCUCUCUCUAAACCUUCACCUACCUGUAGGAUCCUCCCUAAAAAAAUGCCACGUGGCUCUCUCUCCCUUGCGCAUGCAGACGGUCCCCUUUGCGACGCGCGGCAUAGCUCAUUCCAACCUGGGAAGAAUUCUGUCCGGCCGACAUUCAACCUUCUUUGGAUGUCUCACAUCCGAAAUUCUGUCCGGCUGACGUUCCACCUUCUCCGGAUGUAUCACAUUCGGAAUCCUGUCUGGCCGACGUUCCACCUUCUCCUGAUGUCUCACAUCCGAAAUUUUGUCCGGCCAACGUUCUACCUUACUCGGAUGUCUCACAUCUGGAAUUCUUCUCUACCGACAUUCCACCCAGGUAUCUCACAUUCGGAAUUCUUCUCCGCCGACAUUCCACCCGGAUGUCUCACAUCCAGAAUUUUUCUCCGUCGACAUUCCACCCGGAUAUCUCACAUUCGGAAUUCUGUCCGGCCGACGUUCCACCUUCUCCGGAUAUUUCGCAGCCGGCGCCUGUUGCCGGGUGAGAGAGGAGGACGAUUCAACUUCACCGGACAGACAUGUCCGGAUCCUCUAGUGACGCUUACCCGGACAGCUUGGCUCGUCAGACACUCGCGAUUCACCGAAUCUAUUUCCGCCCACAAUCAAAAGGCAAACUCCGAUAAUACCGACGACCAAGUCUCCUGAACUGUCACUCAUCUUUAAUGCAAGAUAGAUUGGGCUUUGGUGGGGCCCCACACGCGUGAUUUUAUGAUCGAUUGGUGGAUUGAUUGAUUUGAUUGCUAUAUGUGAUUGAUUUACACUAUUCUAUGAUACACACACGAUUAUCCUGUGUUUAAUUGCUAACAUUUGUUUUCAUCGAAGUAAAUCGGUUCAUCACCUAAGUACAUUCUUUGUCUCUCCUAUUCAUUCAGUUAUUUUGUUUCUGGUGAUAUUCAUUUGGUAUCCAUGCUCGAUUAAUCAAUUGCCAUGAUUGCUUCAUUUUAUUAGUAGAGACCCGUUUUAGGGACUUAGAGGGUUGCUACGGUCUUUACCGUACCUUCCCGAUAAGUAACCUAACCCCCGAACCCGAUCCGAUUUUUCGUAGACCACCUUUUCCAAACUAAGGAGUCACACUUAGGGUUUUUUUCUUUCUUAUUUUGUUUACCCUUUAAAAAUAAAACAAAAAUAAGUGGUGACUCCAAGUCAUUUUUUUUAACCGAUUAAAUCAUUUUUCAAAAUAAAAAUCGAGCUCGCCAUCGAGUGGGGAACGCAUGAGCCGAAAUGCAGGGUCCACAACAUUAUACUUGGAAACUUAUGAUCUAUUUUUUCUAUUUUAAAUGUAAUUAAUAAUAUAAAAAUUUAAUAUAUUUAUGAUAACUUUAACAAAAUUAAUUUAUUUGUAAAAAUUUAUUAAUUUUUACUAUUUUACAUAUAUAUAUAUAUACACACUAGUAGAAAGCACAUGUGUUGCACGUGAAGAUUUAUGUAGGUAUGCGAUUGUUGAUAUAUGAAAUUAAUGAAAUUACAUUGUACUUGUAGGAAAAUAGAUCAAAUAUAAUAUUAUUGUAGACAUAUUUGUGUCAUAAUCUAUACAUUUUGUAAUCCAUCAUUAUUGUGAUGUAUCAUUUAAGAAAAUUAACUUAGUUGUUUUCUUACAAAAGUUUGGAGGAAUUAUGAUCAUUAACUACUUGUUUGUCUUUGCAGUAGUCUGCACUAUAGUCUUUUUUUUUUCCUCAUGCAGAAAAGUUACACAUAUUUGAAAAUGUAUUAGUUGAAAUAGAAAAAUAAUGUUUCAAAAAAAUAUAUGGGCAAAAUAUUUCAACAUAAGCUAAUGGUACAUUACCUUAUAUUAUUUUUUGGGGUUUUUUUUUUUUUUUGCUCAUUUUUCUCUCAAUGUUUAUAAAUUUGCAUUGAAGAAAUAAGUUUUAUUAUUUUUAAAUUCAAUUUAGAAAAUGGUAAUAUUGUGAAAGUUACAUUCAUUUAUAAUGAUACCAACAUAUACUUACCUCAAUAAUAUAAAAUUAUUCUCUUUGAUGUUUCUUUUUCCAGAAAUGAGUUGGAAAUAAGAUAAGUUUUGUUUAUAAAAUUUCAAUUUAAUUAUUUUGGGCAAAAGUAUAUAAUAUAUUGGACAUACCUGUUAAGAAAGUUGACAUCCUAUGGUCUUUUUGAUGAGUUUGUUUAAUAAGUUUCACCUAACUAAGAAUAGUAUAAAGAUAAAUUUAUGUGUAAUUCUAUUAAUAUUGUUAUAUUAUCGAUAAAAAGAUACGUACCUGUGGACCCCACAUUUCGGGUCAUGCAUUUUCCACUCGAUGGCGAGCUCGAUUUUUAUUUGAAAAUGAUUUUAUUAUUUAAAAAAAAUGACUUGGAGUCGCCACUUAUUUUUGUUUUAGUUUUAAAAGGGUAAACAAAAUAAGAAAGAAACCCUAAGUAUGACUCCUUAUUUUGGAAAAGGUGGUCUAUGAAAAAUCAGAUUAGGCUCGGGGGUCGGGUUACUUAUCGGGAAGGUACGGUAAAGACCAUAACACCCCUCUAAGUCCCUAAAGUCGAGUCUCUACUAAUAAAAUGAAACUGACGUGACAAUCAAUAGCAAAAUUAAUGGAUACUCAAAUCGGUCAUGCACAUAUGGGAAUCAAAACAUGUAUAGAGAAUGACUAGAAUGGGAGUGGAUGGGUACCUGGGCCAUGAACGAGCAAUGCGCUAUCAUAAAAAUGGGGUCAAUGUACAAUAAAUAGCACAAAACAUAUCACAUGCAUCACCAAACAUAAAUUAAAACUGCUCGAGGGAAAAUUGGAUUUUUGAAAUUUAUUUGAAAAUUGGAGUUUUAGAGAUUAUUUGAAAAUUUGAGUUUUGGAGAUUAUUUGAAAAUUGGAUUUUUAGAAAUUAAAUGUAGGAAUGAGAAUUUUAGAAAUUAAAUUUGAAAGAAAUCAGAAUUUUGAAAAUUAUUUGAGAGUUUGGGAUUUUUUAAAAAUUAAAUUAUGAAAUUGGGGUUUUUGGAAAUUAAAUUUUAAAAGAAAUCAGAAUUGAAAAUUAUUUUAGAAGUAGAAACUAUGAAAAUUGAAUUAUAAAAAUUGGAAAUCUUAGAAAUCAUUCGAAGGUAGAAUUUUUAGAAGUAAAUUAAUAAAAUGAUAAUAAUAAUGAUAAUAAUAAGUAAGUAAUGAAAUAAAUGCGAGAAUUAGAAUAUUAGAAAUUGAAAAUUAAGUUCGGAAAUUGAAAAAUUGGAAUUUCAAAAAACUAAAUUUGGAAAUCGGAAUUUUGAAGAAUUAUUUAAGGACAUAAUUUUAAAUAAAUGAAUAAGUGAAUAAAUAAAUGAAUGGAAUAAUAAUAAUGACGAAGUAAUAAUGAUUGGAUGAAUAAUUGAGGAAGUUAGGAUUUCGGAAAUUGAAAAUUGAACUUAGGGAUUGGAAAUUUAAAGAAUUAUUUAGGGAUGAAAUUUUAAAUAUAUGAAUAAGUGAAUAAAUAAAUGAAUGAGAUAAUAAUAACGAAAAUAAUCAUUAAACAACAAAAUGUGAAUAGUGGAAUUUUUUAAAUUGAAAAUUAAAUUUGGAAAAUGGAAUUUUGAAAAUUUGAACUUUAAUGAUUGGAAUUUUUAAAAGAAAUAAAUAGAAUAAUAAUAAUAACAACGAAAGCAAUAUUUAAACGAAUGAACGCGAAUAGUGGAUUUUUUGAAAUUUGAAAAAUUCUUUAAAGAGGGAAUUUUUAGAAUAAACAAACAAAUAAAUAAAUGGAAUAAUAGUAAUAACGAGAAUAAUAAUGAUUAGAUAUAAUAAUUGUGAAAAUUGGAAAGUGAAUUUAGAAAUUGGAAAAUUGAAGAAUUAUUUAAAGAUGGAAUGUCGGAAAAUUAAAUAUUGAAAGCUGGAAACCCGAAAAAUUAUUUUAAGGCUAGAAUGUUGGAAAAUUAAAAUUUGAAAACUGGAAACCCAAAAAAAAUUAUUUUAAGGAUGGAAUGUCGGAAAAUUAAAUUUCAAAAACUAGAAACCCGAAAAAUUAUUUUGAGGAUGGAAUGUCGAAAAAUUAAAUCUUGAAAAUUUUGUUUUGAUAUCAAAAUGUGAAGAAAUAAUAAAAAGAAAUAUGAAUUAUGGUGAUCUUCACGUGCACGUCUCCAGUAUAAUGGCCAUAAACCCAUUUUAUAUAUUCUUUUCCACCACCUGAGCAAACAGCUUUUGCAUGAAGAUUGACGAGUGGGUGUGGAGGUUGGUAUGGCCAUGCAUGCGUGAGGAUGUGUUGGACGGAUAUGAAGGUUGGUGUGGCCAUGCAUGCGUGAGGAUUUUAAGGAUGGAAUUAAAUUUCGAAAACUGGAAACCCGAAAAAUUAAUUUUAAGGAUGGAAUGUCGGAAAAUUAAAUUUUGAAAACUGGAAACCCGAAAAAAUUUAUUUUAAGGAUGGAAUAUCGGAAAAUUAAAUUUCGAAAGCUGAAAACCCGAAAAAUUAUUUCAAGGAUGGAAUGUCGGAAAUAUAAAUUUCGAAAACUGGAAACCCAAAAAAUUAAUUUAAGGAUGGAAUGUCGGAAAAUUAAAUUUCGAAAACCGGAAACCCGAAAAAUUAUUUUGAGGAUGGAACGUCGAAAAAUUAAAUUUCAAAAACUGGAAACCCGAAAAAUUAAUUUAAGGAUGGAAUGUCAGAAAUAUAAAUUUCGAAAACUGGAAGCCCGAAAAAUUAAUUUAAGGAUGGAAUGUCGAAAAAUUAAAUUUCGAAAACUGGAUGGAAUAUCAGAAAAUUAAAUUUCGAACGCUGGAAACCCGAAAAAAUUAUUUUAAGGAUGGAAUGUGGGAAAUAUAAAUUUCGAAAACUAGAAACCCGAAAAAUUAUUUUAAGGACGGAAUGUCGGAAAAUUAAAUUUCGAAAACUGGAAAGCUGAAAAAUUAUUUUGAGGAUGGAAUGUCGAAAAAUUGAAUCUUGAAAAUUUUGUUUUAUAUCAAAAUGUGAAUAAAUAAUAAAAAGAAAUAUGGAUUGUGAUGAUCUUCAAGUGCACGUCUCCAGUGUAAUGGCCAUAAACCCAUUUUAUAUAUUCUUUUCCACCACCUGAACAAACAGCUUUUGCAUGAAGAUUGAUGAGUGGGUAUUGAAAAAUGAUGACAUGGGCAAGGUAAUGGAGUCAGCCACUAGCAGGAAAUAAAUAAAAAAUAAAAAUCCUACAGACCCAUUUAAUUCGACAUCAAACCAGAAAGCAAAACCAUGCAGUGGAGCUCACAUCAACUGUAUCACUCUUUCUUAUCAAACUUCUUUCGAAUAUAUCUAGGAAUUCUCUUUGGAAUUCCCAUUACCUCAGAAGGAAACAGAAUUCUAGAUGAGUUGUGACCCUAGUAGUAACCAUAUCUGGCUAAAAAAAAACCCAAAGACCGUUCUUUGGUCUUGGUCCAGAUGAUAUCUUCAAUUCCAAGAAACAAAACUCCCUCGGUUGGUCUGGAUUCCCUUACAGGAACUUGGGAAGCAUUCCGACAACAUGGAGAUGACAGUUGUUCAGUUAUACCAUUAUUUGUCACCUUGUUUUUUUUUUUUUUUUUUUUCAGCAAGCUUAACGUCUUUUCCAGUUCACUAACAUGUCUAGGAUGAUAUACUGGUAUUAGACAAUUUGAUAUAUCCGAAAUGACCUUCACAUUGUCCAGGUUCGAUGCAAUACUAAUUUCCUGUCUCAUAGCCAACCCAAACAUGAUACCCAACAUUCCAAAAGUGCACGAAACAGAGGAAGUGAAGAAAAACAGAGCAUAUACAAACGAAAAAGAUAGGAUUGAACUCGGCUCCAUUUCAUAAAGAUCAAUGGGCUGGAUACAGGUGCCAUAGGAAGGAAGCAAAAAAAAAAUGAUUUUGAUACAUCAAGCUCAGGGGAGAAAACAAAGCAUCAGGCAUUGACAAGAAAGAUAGAAAAAAAAAACACCAGAAACAAAACCAAAACAGAGAAUGCAUACAAAGGAUAGAUCCCUCAAAGCAAACAAGUGGCCUAGUAGUCAUACCUGUUGAGAAAAUUUGGAUACAAUGGAGAAAGGAAACACUCUCACACACUCACUUUGAUACAAUAAAACUCUCAAAGAUACAAAAUAAGAACAAGAAGAAGAAGAACACAAGAAAGGCUCAAACAAGUUCUUGGAACUUUGUCCAAAGACUCUAUUUCCUCCCACCUCUAGAAAUCUUUUUGGGAACUAAAAGGAAAUAGUCUUGGGAUUGAUCAAGCCUUUUCACUUUUCUGCAUAAGAUUUCAAAAAGAAGAAAAGUCAUAUAUAUAGCACUCUUAGGGUUGAAAAAAGGUUACAAGGAUGAGAAAAAACCCAUUGUCUUCCUCAAUCUCUUCAUCUUUGUAACAUUCAAAAUUAAAUCAUAUGUUUAAUUCACACAUUAAACAUGAUUUAAUCUCAAAUGUGUAACUCUCUUACACUUAACCUCUUAAGUUUAUAAAGUUACAAAGAUGAGAAGACUCAUUGUCUUCCUCAACCUUUCAAGUUUUGUAACAUUUCAAAACUUAAUCAUGUGUUUAAUUCACACAUUAAAAGUGUAACCCUUCUUACACUUUAUUUUCCAAAAGUUAUUUUCAAAAGUGUAACUCUUCUUACACUUUAUUUUUAACCAACAAUAUAUAUAUAUUUAUAUAAAUAUAACAAUCCCCCACUUGGUUAAAAAUAAACAUAAACCCUUAUAACCUUAACAGUGAAAAUGCAUAAAAUAAAAUAUCUUUCAAUUUGAAUUUUACCUUAGUGUAAUUGUCACAAAGCUCCGUUGAAAUCCCAGGUUGCUUGUAGCAUUGAACCAGUUAUUCCUUGUAACGAAACCGGUAACAACACACACACUUCCACUAACCACACGAGUGCCCAUUAUUUUCUUGCUUAGCACUUUUAUGGCCAUGUGCUCAAUCCAUUCAUGAACUUUCUUGAAAGAAACUCCAACUCUCAUGAGAGGCGGCACCACCCCUAAGUUCACAUAGGUGAAAUUUUUCCAGCAUUCUUGUUACUUUUAAGAUGCUUGUCACACAUAGACUGAAUUUCAUUAAAAGCUUUAAGCUUAACCCUCCAACGGUAACAACCAGCAUUAAUCAUCACAGAUGGAACUCACAUGUUCUAAUGCUGUCACAACCCACUUAUCAAUGACUUGUUUUUACCCAUUGAACUUAAGACUAGUCAUUUCGUAGUAUUAAGUUGGGUUACCAUCAUUGGUGAGUUUUAUUUAAGGAGUUUUAGUCCCAUCCCUCUAGAUGUUAUCCUUACUAAAUCUCUUGUAAGAGGUUUAGUAAAAGGAUCCGCCAAGUUUCCACUUGACCUCACAAAUGAGAUUGAGAUGAUUCCAUUUUGAAUCAAUUGUCUUACAUACUCAUGUCUAAUGCUUAUAUGUCUAGACUUCCCAUUGUACACUCCACUGUACGCACGAGCUAGAGUGGCUUGACUGUCACAAUGUAUCGACACUGUUGACACAUUAUUUGCAGUAAAAGGGAUGUCCAUCAUGAGAUCCCUAAGCCACUCAAGUUCUAUUCCAGUUGCAGCUAGAGCUAUAAACUCUGCCUCCAUGGCUGAGUGUGAUAUGCAAGUUUGUUUCUUGGAUCCCCAAGAGACAGCCCCACCACCAAGUGUAAACACCCAACCUGUGGUAGAUAAAUUAUCUCCCACACUCGAUAUCCAGCUUGCAUCUGAAUACCCUUCAAUUAUAGCAGGAAACUUUGAAUAUUGGAGGCUUAGUUCUUUGGUAUUCUUUAGGUAACCAAGAACUCUACCAAUAGCUUUCCAAUGUUCCACACUUGGAUUGCUAGUAAACCUACUUAGUUUACUAACUGCAAAUGAAAUGUCAGCCCUAGUACACUGAGCAGCAUACAUAAGACUUCCAAUUGCACUUGCAUACUCAAGUUGAGCCACCGAUCUACCAUCAUUCUUUUCAAGUUUUAUACUUGAAUCAAAUGGAGUAUUAGCAUCUUUAAUCUUGAGAUGACUAAAUUUGCUAACUACUUUCUCAAUAUAGUGGGUUUGGUUCAAAGCAUAACCCCCACUAUUUCUUUUCACUUUGAUACCCAAUAUAGUAUCAACUUCUCCAAGAUCUUUCAUCUUGAAGGUUGGGGAUAGAAACCUUUUCAUUUCUAUUAUUCCUUUCAUGUCAUCACUCAAGAUUAACAUGUCAUCCACAUAUAGACACACUAUGACCAUAUAGUCAUCACAAGUCUUAGAAUAUAAGCACUUGUUCACAUUGUUGUGUCUAAAUCCAUCCGAAAGAAUAGCAUGAUCAAAUUUUUCGUGCCAUUGUUUGGGAGCUUGUUUUAAACCAUAUAAUGAUUUGACAAGCUUACACACUUUGUUUUCAUUCCCCAGUAGAAUAAAACCUUCAGGUUGUUCCAUGUAGACCUCCUCAUUGAGAUCCCCAUUCAAGAAUGCCGUUUUGACAUCCAUUUGAUGAACAAAUAGAUCAUGAAUUGAUGCCAAAGCAAACAAUAUCCUAAUCGAUGUUGUUCUAGCCACCGGCGCAUAGGUAUCAAAAUAAUCAAUACCUUCUCUUUGUUUAAACCCCUUAGCUACUAAUCUAGCCUUAAAGGUUUGAAUCAUGCCAUCGGUGUGAUAUUUCCUUCAAAAUACCCACUUGCACCCUAUUGGUUUAGAUCCUGGUGGAAGGUCUACCAAUUCCCAUGUUUGGUUGGACAUAAUUGAAUCCAUUUCAUCAUUGAUAGCCUCUUUCCAAAAAGCAACAUCUCUAGAAGCCAUAGCUUCUUUGUAUGUUUUGGGAUCCUCCUCUAUUUGAAGUACUAUAGGAAUUUUUCUUAUAAUAUCUUCUCUAUUUCCUUCUACUAAGUAAAAGGAAAUUAUUUGAGAGUCAAUCUCAUCCGAUCCCAACACUUUCUCUUUUCUAGCUCUUUGGCUUUUCCAAGGCACAAUGGGUUGCUCAACAACCUUUGAAGGUGUCUCCUCUGGAGACUCUCCAACACUAGUAGGUACUUGAGAAUUGCUAUCACUCAACAAAUUCUCAAAGAACUCUACCUCUCUUGAUUCAAUUAUCACAUUAGACUCCAAGUCUAAUAGCCUAUAAGCUUUGCUAUUUGAGGCAUAGCCUACAAAUGCACACUUAACGGCUCUUGGACCCAAUUUUGAUUUAUUUGGAUCCGUUUUCUUGCAAUAAGCAAGACACCCCCACACUUUGAAGUAACCUAUAUUAGGCUUCCUUCCUUUCCAUAACUCAUAUGGAGAUAUCUCUUUUUUCUUCAUAGGAAUUCUAUUCAAAAUAUGGCAAGCAAUCAACAAAGCUUCACCCCACAAAUUGAAAUUCAAUUUAGCAUGCAAUAACAUAGCAUUCACCAUUUCCAAGAAUGUUCUAUUCUUUCUCUCCGCUAUGCCAUUGUGUUGAGGUGUAUAGGGUGCGGUGCACUCAUGUAUUAUGCCAUAUUCUUCACAAAAAGAAUUGAAUUCACUAGAGAAAUAUUCACCACCUGUAUCACUUCUAAGCACCUUAAUAUUUUUUCCUAGUUGAUUUUCAACUUCGGCUUUGUAAACUUUAAAGGCAUUGAAAGUUUCACUUUUGUUUUUCAACAAAAACACAUAGGUAAAUCUAGAACAAUCAUCUAUGAAUGUAAGAAAAUACCUAUUUCCACCUCUUGUUAACAUGCCAUUAAGUUCACAAAGAUCACUAUGUACUAAAUCAAGCAAAUUAGAUGAUCUCUCAACACUAUGAAAAGGCUUUUUAAUCAUCUUUGAUUUAACACAUAUUUCACAUUUUUCAAAUUUCUUGGUAUCACAAGCAAUCAAACCACAUUUCACAAUCCUUUUAAUAGUGCUUAAACCAACAUGUGCAAGCCUAUUAUGCCACAAAAAUAAAGAAUUUGAAUCACACAUAUAAGCGGAAGUAGAAGCCAUUUUAAUGAUAUUGUCAUUGGUACAAAGUUUGAUCAUCCCAUCACAAGAAUACCCCUUUCCCACAAAGUUCCCCGAUUUGGAUAAAAUUAGUUUACCGGAUUCAAACACUGCUUUGAUACCCGGUUUGCCAAGCAAAUCCCCACUAACCAAAUUUUUAUUCAUAUCGGGGACAUACAAUACAUUUAUAAGGGUAACCCUUUUUCCGGAGGUAAAAGCAACUUCAAUAGUGCCCUUGCCAAGCACUUUGGAUCUUCCUUCAUUGCCCAUUUGAACCUCUUGAUCUCCCUUUGCAUCUUCAAAGGUCUUGAAAAGAGAUUUGUCAUAGGUAACAUGAACUGUGGCACAAGUAUCAUACCACCAUCCUUGCACCUUUCCUUGGACAACGCACACAUCGCUUAGUGUUGUAAUGAUCUCCUCAUCAAUUGCAUUCACCACAGCCCCUUUUUGGUCAUUUCGGUACCUACACUCCCUAGCAUAAUGCCUGGGUUUUCCACACACAAAACAAGGACCUUUCUUGCCCUUAAAUUGCUCUUGAUUUUUCUUGGGGCUCAUAUAAUUUCCGGAAUUCCUUUUGUUAUUUUUACCUCUAGGAUGAUUGGCCUUUGAAACCGCAUUGGUUUUGUUAGUCCCACCAUUGGACUCUUCCACCAUUUUGUCUCUUGAUCUCGAUUCUUCCUCAAUGCGAAGAUGUUUUUGAAUCUCUUCCAAGGAGUAAUCUUCACUCUUGUGGAGAAUCCUCUUCCGGUAACCUUUCCAACUUGAUGGUAAUUUAGCCACAAUAGAACCAACUUGGAAGGCCUCCGGAAGUUCAAUUUUGAGAACUUUCAACUUAUUCACAAUACUUGCAACUCAUGAAUUUGUGGUAGAGAGGCUUUUCAUCAAAAAAUUNNNNNNNNNNNNNNNNNNNNNNNNNNNNNNNNNNNNNNNNNNNNNNNNNNNNNNNNNNNNNNNNNNNNNNNNNNNNNNNNNNNNNNNNNNNNNNNNNNNNNNNNNNNNNNNNNNNNNNNNNNNNNNNNNNNNNNNNNNNNNNNNNNNNNNNNNNNNNNNNNNNNNNNNNNNNNNNNNNNNNNNNNNNNNNNNNNNNNNNNNNNNNNNNNNNNNNNNNNNNNNNNNNNNNNNNNNNNNNNNNNNNNNNNNNNNNNNNNNNNNNNNNNNNNNNNNNNNNNNNNNNNNNNNUUGAUUGUUGAGAAAAUUUGGAUACAAUGGAGAAAGGAAACACUCUCACACACUCACUUUGAUACAAUAAAACUCUCAAAGAUACAAAAUAAGAACAAGAAGAAGAAGAACACAAGAAAGGCUCAAACAAGUUCUUGGAACUUUGUCUAAAGACUCUAUUUCCUCCCACCUCUAGAAAUCUUUUUGGGAACUAAAAGGAAAUAGUCUUGGGAUUGAUCAAGCCUUUUCACUUUUCUGCAUAAGAUUUCAAAAAGAAGAAAAGUCAUAUAUAUAGUACUCUUAGGGUUGAAAAAAGGUUACAAGGAUGAAAAAAAACCCAUUGUCUUCCUCAAUCUCUUCAUCUUUGUAACAUCAAAAUUAAAUCAUAUGUUUAAUUCACACAUUAAACAUGAUUUAAUCUCAAAUGUGUAACUCUCUUACACUUAACCUCUUAAGUUUAUAAAGUUACAAAGAUGAGAAGACUCAUUGUUUUCCUCAACCUCUUCAUCUUUGUAACAUUCAAAAUUAAGUCAUAUGUUUAAUUCACACAUUAAACAUGAUUUAAUCUCAAAUGUGUAACUCUCUUACACUUAACCUCUUAAGUUUAUAAAGUUACAAAGAUGAGAAGACUCAUUGUCUUCCUCAACCUUUCAAGUUUUGUAACAUUUCAAAACUUAAUCAUGUGUUUAAUUCACACAUUAAAAGUGUAACCCUUCUUACACUUUAUUUUCCAAAAGUUAUUUUCAAAAGUGUAACUCUUCUUACACUUUAUUUUUAACCAACAAUAUAUAUAUAUUUAUAUAAACAUAACAAUACCUGGAUGUUUUCCUCAAGCCAAAAGUUUCCUGGCCACCCGCUCUACUCUCCUCCUUUCCCUCUCCUGCUUCAGCCAAAGAACCCCUCUUUUAGAAAGAAUCCCCUCACCUCCAAAUCUCCCCUGUUUCCCCGUCUUCCUUAGCAAGCCACUACCUGCUCUCAUGUGCACCAUUCCGCCAAUGCGUCAUCCUCACCCACCACCAUGGGCGAGCCGUGCUCUUGGCCACCUGUCCAUGCAGCUUCUUCAUGGCAAAAAAGGCCCCCCCCCCUCUCAUCUCAAAAAAAUGAAUGGAAAAUCCCUCAAAGCAAACAAGUGGCCUAGUAGUCAUACUUGGAUGUUUUCUUCAAGCCAAAAGUUUCUUGGCCACCCGCUCUGCUCUCCUCCCUUCCCUCUCUUGCUUCAACCAAAGAACCCCUCUUUCAGAAAGAAUCCCCUCACCUCCAAAUCUCCCCUGUUUCCCCGUCUUCCUUAGCAAGCCACUACCUGCUCUCAUGUGCACCAUUCCGCCACUGCGUCAUCCUCACCCACGACUUCCGCCACUGCGUCAUCCUCGCCCACCACCAUGGGCAAGCCGUGCUCUUGGCCACCUGUCCAUGCAGCUUCUUCAUGGCAGAAAAGGGGUCCCCCCUCAUCUCAAAAAAAUGAAUGGAAAAUUCCCCCCCCCCCCCCCCCUCCCCCCGGGUGGUCCCAAACAAAUGACCUUGGUCUUUUAAGGGGUUUACAGUACCAUAGUCAAAUCAAACUCAAAAGAUGUAGUAAUUCUUAAUUAAUCUAAAAAUAUGAAAUUAGAGUUAUUAUAAAUGAUAAAAUUAAUUAAUUUGUAGAAGUUUACAAAAUGAACCAUUGUUUCUUUUAUUUUGUCAAAAUGUUUUUUACCAUCAUCCAUAGAGUUGGCGGAUCAACUUUGACUAUAGCACCCCAUUUUGGACUAUAGAGUUGUAGCUUCAACUAAGAUUAGUUUGAUUAGGUUAGUAAUUAAUAUGAAUUAAAAACUUAAUAUUUGAAUAUUAUGUGUAAGAUGUAAUCCCUUGUUUUUAGUCAUUGAUGGUACUUGUCCUUUUAUUGCAUGAAAACAAAUCUGAAUUGGAAAUGUUAAAGUGGAGUGUAAAUAAAUAGAAAUAUGAUCAUAAUUUAUGUUGUUGAACAUAGAUAACAUGGCGACACCGUUAAGUAGAUAAACUAAAAGAUAACAAUAUAAUAAGAAUUCUAACAUUAUUCGUUAUCAAAUAUUUUUUAUGAUUUUCUAUCCCUUGAUUCUGAAAAUAAAAACGUAGAUAAGGUAAAAAGCAACAAAUAGUAAAAAAAUAUAAAAGCAAGAAAAUGAUAAACAAUGAAAUAAAUAAGUUAAAAAUGACAAACCGUGAAAUAGAUAAGUUAGUUAUUGUAAAAUUCUUUGACAAAUGAUUUAUAAAAUAUGUAUUUUUUUUUUGGGUUAUCGCAUGAAAAAAUUAUUUAAAUUAUAUGUUAUUUUACUGAUAAAAGGUAAUUUCAUUAAAUAUUUACUGUUUCAUCGAAUUCUUUUAUUGAAUUAUUUUGUAUUGGGUUCUUUAAAUGUUGUUUCAUACAUAGAUAUGUGGUUAUUCAUGCCCACGUUGUUUUCUAAAGUGUUUGAUUUUUAAUUAUAAGUGUAUAAUAAUUUUCGUGGAAUAAUCUUUAAAAAUUAAAUAAAAAUAAAAAUAUAUAAUAAAAAAACAUAUUAUUUUAUAUUUUUAAGAAUUAUAGAAACUAUCCUUUAUUUCCUAUUGUUAAAAUUGCUUUCAAACGUAGCCUCACUACCGCAAAUUUCUUACACCACACAACGUUGUAAAUAACAGAGGGAACACAGUUUAGUUUAGUUGGUGUAGACACAUACUUUGUUGCAGCUUAUGAACUUGAAUAUUCUCAAGUUCUAACAAUUGUUAAAUUUAAAAUUAUGUUUUAAUAUAUAUAGAAGUCAACAUUGUGAAAAUAUUAUGAAAGAUAAUACUAUCGUUGUAAAAUUUUUAUUAAAUUUUGAAAAAAUGUAAUGCAAUUUGAAUUUUUUUUUAAAAAAAUUAUAGUUUAAUAAAAAUAUCUAUGCACAUGUAUAAGUAAUCUUGUUAAGGUAAUUUAUGAAUUUUAAAAAAUAUCCUAUUUAAAAACUAAUCUAAUUAUACUAACAGACAAUAGAUGAAUUAUCCAAAAUAAUAAAAAAAUAAAAAAUAAAAACUAACAUUUUGUUUGUUAAUGCAUAAUAAUAAUAAAAAAAGAUAUUAUCAACAAAUAAAUACCUUGAUAUGUUUAAAAUGAGCGGGAAAUUAUUUCUUCAACCAUAAUUGGUCAUCAUUUUUUAUCUCUAAAAUAUGAAAAUAGAAACAUAGAUAAGUUAAAAACCAAUAUAUGAUAAAUAAAAAAAACAAAAAAAAAACUUGAUGAUAAGAAAAUGAUAGAGGGUAAAUUAGAUAAGUUCAUUACCUAAGAUGAAAGGCCAGUUUAGUAUCAAAUUCCAUGGGAGGUUGUUAUAAGAUAUGUACAUAUAUAAUAUCAAAUGACUUAAAGUAGGAGAUAUUUAUUGAGGUUUAAUAUUAAUAUCAUGAAAAUAAAUGAAAGUCAUUAAUUUAAAAUUGAAUCAUUUUUUUAAGGGAAAGUUCUGUUUGCAGGCUGCUAUUAGGAAGAUAUAUGGUUUUGGAAACCCAUGUAAAUGAAAUAUGAAAUGUCCUUGUUAAUGGAGAAAAUAUUAUCUUUCUCAUGCACUCUUUGCUAACUCCAAUUUAUAUUCCUAGGUUGCCCCUCCAUGCCUCCAUAUCAGCAAGAAGCCCUCCAUGCCAAUGAGAGAGUGAAAUUUUUUAAAACAAAAAUCUAAAUUUGAAACCUAUGAAAAAUGACCCGACCUGACAACCAUCUCUAAUUUCCUUAAUCUGAAAUUUUCUUCUCUCUGAUUUGAGAGCAUUUCUCUUUCUCUCCCUCUCUCUCUCUCUCGGCUUCAUCACCCACAUAAUCCCAAGACCCAUGUAAAAUUUCCCAAAAAUUGUCUUAUUUGAGAGAAAAAAACCAUUAAUCCAAAACUCUAACUUGCAUGUUUCUUUCUUGUCCACAUAAAAGUGCAAUGAAAUGGAGCAUUCCAUCCUAAGAAUGUCCAAUUAAAAGACGACUUCAAGAGGCACAUCUGUGAUUGUGAAUCUACUACAGCAGCGCGUACCAAAACGGAAAGGUGGAAUCCAAAAUAUUGGCUCUGUAAACAAGAUAUCUCUUUCUAUCAUUGAGUGACAUUUUGCCCUAACCCUAAACCGAAAUCUGAAGGUAAAUUAUUUUCAUUUAUUGUUCUUUAGUUCAUUUAUUUGAAAUAGAGCACAUCAAUGUUUUGGAGUCGUUUGUGGACAUGAACUUUUGUGUUGGGUUUUGGGAACCAUAUUAUUCCUAAAUAAUCAUAUGACCCACAAGUCAUAUUGAACCAAGAUGGAACUUACAACAUAUAUGGUUGUAAGUCGCAUUGUUAUUUUGCGGAUUGUACCUUAGGUACUACCUUAAUAGCCCUUAGGUACCACCUUAACCUACCUUAGGUACUACCUUAAGCCACCUUAGGCACUACUUUAGUUAAAGUUAGGUUGUACCUAUCCAAAGCAUCGAACCUUCCUUUGUCACCCUUAGAGCAUGCCAUUAUGUGAUUCUUUUAUGUGGUCAAGUGGUUCGCCUUUGGUUUUUUGUGGAUUAUACCUUAGGUGCUACCUUAAUAGUCCUUAGGUACCACCUUAUUCUACCUUAGGUACUACCUUAAGGGACCUUAGGUACUACCUUAGUUAAAGUUGGGUUUUACCUAUUCGAUGCCUUGGACCUUCCUUUGUGACCCUUAGAUCAUGUCAUUAUGUUAUCUUUUGUGUGGGCCAGUGGUUCACCUUUGAUUUUUUAGGGACAGUACCUUAGGUACUACCUUAAUAGCCCUUAGGUACCACCUUAAUCUACCUUAGGUACUACCUUAACCGACCUUAGGUACUACCUUAGUUAAAAUUGGGUUCUACCGAUCCGAAGCCUUUGAUCUUCAUUUGUCACCCUUAGACCAUGCCUUUAUGUGAUUCUUUUGUGUGGUCAAGUGGUUCACCUUUGGUUUUUUGCAGACUGUACCUUAAGUACUACCUUAAUAGCCCUUAGGUACCACUUUAAUCUACCUUAGGUACUACCUUAAGGGACCUUAGGUACUACCUUAGUUAAAGUUGGGUUCUACCUAUCCGAAGUCUUGGACCUUCCUUUGUGACCCUUAAACCAUGCCAUUAUGUAAUUCUUUUGUGUGGGCAAGUGGUUCACCUUUGGUUUUUUGGGUACUGUACCUAAGGUACUACCUUAAUAGCCCUUAAGUACCAUCUUAAUCUACCUUAGGUACUACCUUAUGUUAAAGUUGGGUUCUACCUAUCCAAAGCCUCAGACCUUCCUUUGUGACCCUUAGACCAUGCCAUUAUUUGAUUUUUUUGUGUGGGCAAGUGGUUCACCUUUAGUUUUUUGGGGACUGUACCUUAGGCACUACCUUAAUAGCCCUUAGGUACCACUUUAAUCUACCUUAGGUACUAUCUUCAUAGCCCUUAGGUACCACCUUAAUCUACCUUAGGAACUGCCUUAACCGACCUUAGGUACUACCUUAGUUAAAGUUGGGUACUACCUAUCCGAAGCCUUUGACCUUCCUUUGUGACCCUUAGACCAUGCCAUUAUGUGAUUUUUUUGUGUGGUCAAGUGGUUCACCUUUGGUUUUUUUAGGACUGUACCUUAGGUACUACCUUGAUAGCCCUAAGGUACCACCUUAAUAUACCUUAGGUACUACCUUAACCAACCUUAGGUACUACCUUAGUUAAAGUUUGGUUCUACCUCUCCGUAGCCUCUAACCUUCCUUUGUCACCCUUAGACCAUGCUGUUAUGUGAUUCUUUUGUGUGGUCAAGUGGUUCACCUUUGGUUUUUUGCGGAAUGUACCUCAAGUACUACCUUAAUAGCCCUUAGGUACCACCUUAAUCUAACUUAGGUACUCCCUUAAGGGACCUUAGGUACUACCUUAGUUAAAAUUGGGUUCUACCUAUCUGAAGCCUUUGACCUUCAAUCCCGGACAUUACUUGUUAUAUUUUAAAUUUUCUAGUUUAUCAUGACUAUUAUUAUCCUACAAUGUGGUACACAUGUGUGAAUUAUAUACGUUUCGUACUAUAUUUUUCAAUAGUUAUGAGUUGAUUGAUUAUCAAAAAUUAACCAACAACAAUUAUGUCAUUAGACGACAAACAAGCAAACAUACUAUGUAGUGUUUCUGGGUCGUAGACAUGGAGUGUACGAUUCUUGGGCUGAAUGUUAAAAGAAUGUGCUUCUUUAUAAGGGGAGUGUUUACAAAUCAUAUACUUUUAAAGAGGAAGCUGUUUGAGCUUGGGUGUUCUAUAGACUAAGAUGGAAGAGAAGUGAUGAAUGUUCAUCAACUGGCAAACCAAAGUUUGAACUUGCAAUUGAUGAUCAACAUUUGUUACAAAAUAUUUCAUAUACAUAUGUAAUCACUUUCUUUGCUAGCUUCUUUGUAGCAUGUGUUUUGCUUAUUGUAACAUUUAGUUUAACAUAGGUUGUGGAAAUGUGUUAUGAAUAUCAAUUUCUAGUAAUCUAUUUUUCGUAGUGUUCACAGGUACAUGUGAUUAUUAUUAUCAACUUUGUUAAACUGAAAAUGCUCACUCAAACGUUUGGAGCAUAAGACAAUGUGUUCAUUAAAGGUCACAACAUUAAAGAAAUUGAGAAUUUUUGACACAUCAUAAGAUUUUGAAUAAAUUCUAGUUGAGAUGUAAAGCUAACAACUAUAUCUAUGGAAAUUACAUUUUAGCAUUUUCCAAAUUUAAAUUUAAGCUAAUAUGUACAAAUUUUAGCAUUUUCCAAAUUUACAUUUUGUCACUUAAACAUUUUGCCAUUUUGCACAAACUUAUUUAACCCAUCUUCUUCAUUCUAGUGCCUUGAUUUUCAUUAAUCCUUGGAUCAACUCAUUUGACCAAAAAUAAUUUUGUGAAAAGACAUUUCAAACAAACUUUUAAUUUAAGUAUAUUAUAUAAAUCUUAUUUAAAAUUUUUGAAUGAUUUAAUUUUUCAUUUAAAAAUAUAGUUACAAAUUUUAUUAAAAUUAAUAUUUUCAUUUGUGGGUUUAUGGACAAAAAUUUAAGAUAAUUUUAAUAGCAAGUUAGAUAAAUAUAUGUAUUGACUAAUAAGAAUUUAAGUAUUAUUUGUUUUAUUGUUUAGGGUUGAAUGUAACAUCAGAUAAAAGAAGAAAGGGGACAACUGAUUACUACUCAAAAAGUGCUAUUUUGUAGCUUGUAAUUAACUCUCUUAAACACUCUUGAGUAGUAAUUAUUACUUUUUAACUCAAUUGACAUGUUAAGGACCCUUGCAAUCAUUUCUAAUCAAAUUGUGUUAAGUUUUGGUGUUUUUGAUAGAUUUUUGCUCACCAAAGCAAUUUAAGAAUGAGGGAGAGCUGUAUAUAGUUCAUGGAAAAGCUUUUGGAAGCUCAAAUUCAUGAAGAACCAAGCUUUGAAGCUCCAUAGCCCUUUUCCAAAGUCGUUCAAAGUAUGCAAGGAAAGAACAAUGGAGAAGAGGAAAACAGAGUGAAGAAAACAGAGGACAGCAGCUGCAGUCUUCUUUCACACUUUUGGAGCACUUCCUGAAGUCCAUUUUCUACAUGAUAUAUACCAUUUCAAAUCUCAGGAAGUCAAGAAUCCAACGCUUCAAACCGUGUACGAUUUGGAGCUGAAAUGAGGAAGAUAUGGCCUUCGGAAGACAACUGCAUCAAGCUGAGGGACAAUUUUGCACCUUGCGAAAUUGGAACUCCAACGUGCGAAAUUUGAAGUGCAUGGCAGCUGUGCAUUCGCUGUGAAGCCCAACAUGCGAAAGUGAUUUUGCAACUUAAAAACUUGGAUCUCAACGUGCGAAAGUGGAUUCUAAGUUGCGAAAUCAACUUGCGAAAUUUUCGCAAGUCACCAUGCAACGUGCGAAAUCUACAUGCGAACUGGGAUAUUUGUGCACCGACCCUUUUAGAUCUUUUCUUCAGAUAUUUUUGUAUAAAUUUCCAUUCUUCUCCUUGUAAUCCACCAACCAUAAGAUUUCUUAGCUAGGAAGGUUGGAAAAACUUCUCUAUAUAUAUUCCCUUGCAUCCAUUGUAAUAGAUAUCGAUCAAUAUAUAGAUAUAUGAAUAUAUAGAAUAUACAGAGCCUUGCUCUGUUUUUCCUUCUCUUUUCAUUUUCAUUUUCUUGCUAGCCAAACAUUCUCUGAGACGUUUUCUCAGAGGAUGAGUGGCUAGGCUUUUUGUUUCUUGGGUGAAGGAAGCUAGGUGAAAAGUCCAGAUGCAAAAGUGGAAAACUCUCGUGCGUUAAAUACAGGUAGUUGGAGUUCAUAAAUGGCUUUUAAAUCUAAAGUUUUGCUUUAAAUCCCUUAGAAUCACUUUGAAUGGCCAAUACAUGGUAAGCUUCAGGUCUCUGUGGAUGCUUAUUGCUAGAUCCAUAUCAGUCCAUUAGUUAUCAUGUACGAGCCAUUGGAAAGUGAUUCAAGGUGAAGACCCAUAGUGUCUAAAGCCAUUAAUGGAACUUGACUACCAUUUCUAUUGACAUUUUUAUAGAUUAAAUCUUCAUUGUUAAACCUUUACCGGUUCGGGAAACAACCAUCCUUUAUGUUGUUGUCCCCAAUGCGAGAAGAAAAAUCUGGAAUUUCCCACUUUACAGUUGGCACCUGAUCCUAGUAACCUGAAAUCCUAAGAAACACCUUUCUUUCUAAUUUCUUUCUAGUUAAUUUUAGUUACUUUAUGUUAGGUUAGCUUAAUACCAUCCGUUUUCAUUCAAACUUAUGUCUUCUUUUAAAGCUAACCUUGAAAUGAAAAAGCACCAAUUCAUCUUUGAAUUAAUAUCAUUUGUGAAGUGAAAACCCAUCCCAGUGAACGAUCCUAGAGCCACUAUGCUAUAGUAGCUUCGUCUUUGCUACCCUAGUACAUGGUGUAAUAGGUUAUAAAUUUUGUUGAUUACUCCCUCAAUCAAGGAGCACCAGCUGGACAUGAAUCAGCUGAUACACCAAUUAGGCACGAAUCAAAUGGCGCCGUUACCGGGACAUUGGACUCUGAAUCCAGUAACCCGAGUUCAAGUCUCGGUGGAACCUCCACUCCCCCCAACCGACAUAUUGCUAGUCCCUUAGCAAUGAAGGAGAGAAAAAAUAAAAAUAAAAGUAAUAAAUUUACAAAAUCAUGCUGAUCACUCCAAAAAAUGUUUAAGUGGCAUGACUGAUCAAACUCUCACAUGGAACAUGAAAGAAAUAAAACUCAAACUUCAAUAGGAGCUAUCAAAUAAUUUGCCUAGUCACAAUUCAUAAAGAGUAGGCAUUAUGCAAAUUUAAGCUUCAAAAUAAUUUCCACUCCCAAAGGUCCAAUCCUUACUCUUCCACAAAAAUCUAUGUGUUAUUUAUUAGUUUCCGGAUAUAGUAUGUCAAACUAAUCUCUCCCCUCAACCUAGUUCUUUUCAAAGCUUAGCAAACUAAUCAACCUCCAAUAGGCUAAGAACGCACCUCUUUUCUUUCACAAUUUUUUCUUGUAGGAGUGCAAAGCUUAAAGGCAUUCUUUUCUAAAUUGUCCAUGUAACUGGGGUCCAUCGAUGACUCCCAACCAAUCAAGGUUUAGGGCAUCAAGCUUUAAGGAUUUUUCAACCACUAACUCCUCGGAUUUCACCCCGGACUUUUGAGAAUGAAUUUUUAAUACCCAAGCACCUACAAUAUGUUAAACUCCACCUAUUCACCCUUGUAACGAGCAUUGAGGUCGGUGACUCCCAACCAUUGAAGGCUUAGGGCACCAGGUUUUAAAGAUUUUCACCAUAUACCCUUUAGACCUUGCUCGAGUUUCAAGGCAAGUAAAACAUUUUUCUUUUUCUUUCUUUUUUCAAAGGCUCAUUGGCCUUUUAUCAGGUGUCUCAACACUAUUAAAAUGAGGUCAAAUGUACCAAGUCUAAAUUUUCCUAAGUCAAGGGGGAAAAUAGUUUUUCAUCUUAUAAAUGGAACCUAGUGUGCAUGGUGUGUGAUAAGCUUAAAGUGGAAGAAAUAAGGUUGAAAUCAAUAGGAGUUCAAUAAUUCAUCAACUUUAAUAAACAUAAUACAAACUCUAAGUUUCAAGUAAAAAGACAAAAAUUUAAUUUCUCCCAUUUCAUUUUGAAAUUUUUUUCUUAAUAACCAUGGAGAGUAUUCAAAAAAAACUUUAAAAAAUUUUAAAAAUUAAGCAAAAAGCAACUAAAUUACCAAAAUAACUUAGCAUGAAUAACAAAACUUCCUUCCUCAACUCUCCCCCCAACCAAGCUGAACAUUGUCCUCAAUGUUUCAAGAGCGAUAAAAAAAAAAUAAAGGGAGGAAGUGGUACCUCCUAAGUGGCAUGGAGUCUGAGUCGUAUAGGAGAAACCACAUGUUUAAAAAAAAAACAAAAAAUUCAGUGAGUAGAGGAAAUAGAAAAAUGCCAAGUUUAAACAAAAAUGAUGUCUAUAUAUUAAUCUGAGAAAAUAGAAUAUAAUAUAUGAUCAUGCAAUACAUCCAAUCCCAGAAUAUAAAACAUCAAAACAUGGAAUUAUCUAUACUAAUAUAAUAAGUAAAUACAAAAAUUAAAGAGAUGAUCAAGUAGUGGUAGGGUCCUGUGGAGAUAAUGGCUCUGUGGUGGCCUUCUGAGUGGGUUGGGUCAGGACAUUGACCUAUGCUCUAGUAGUCUCCUUAUGUGGCGUAGUCUUCUCAACUGGAGCUCUCAGCUGGAGCUAUGGGCUGUGAUGGUUUAAGGAGGUGAAAAAUGGAGUGAGAGGCUUGGUGUGUGUGAUCUCAGUGAGAGGGCUCUCUUCUUUAGAUGCAUGGUUGUGAGGCUCUGUUGGCAUUUUUGCAAUUUCCCUUGGCUUUGCAAAAUGUUUUUGCACAUCAUUUUGUAGCUUGGAGGUCAUUUCAUAGCUUGGAGGCCAUGUCUUGCAGCCAAAGGGAAAAGAAAAACAUUUUUGCACCCAUGGAAAAAUAGAAAUAUUUUAGCAGCCCAUUUUGAAGCUUGGAAAUCAUUUUGUAGCCAUUUUGAGGUUUGGAAAAUCAUUUGGCAAUCAAAAGGGGAAUUUCGCAGCCCAUUCUUGAAGCUUGGAGCAUUUUCGCACUUUAAAAAAAAAAAUUUCGCACCUUGGAAAGGAUUUUUCGCACUUUGGAUUUCAAGGUGCGAAAUUCCCGCUCAGCUUUGUGCAGUAUGUCUUCAAAUGGCCAUAACUUCUUCGUUUCAAAUCCAAUUCACACACCGUUUGAAGCUCUAGAUUCCUGACUUCCCAAGCUUCAAAACGACAUAUCGUAUGCAUAAUUUGAGCUCCAGAAAGUGCUUCAAAAACGUGUCUAACAGUAGCGAAAUUUGGUGCGGCUGCAACAUUUCCGUUCAGCUUUGCAUAGUCGUCUUCAAACGGCCAUAACUUCUUCGUUUCAAAUCCAAAUCAUGUACCGUUUGAAGCUCUGGAUUCUUGACUUCCUAAGCUUUAAAAUGAUAUAUGGUAUGUAUAAUUUGAGCUCCAGUAAGUACUUCAAAAAUGUAUCCAAAAGUAGCAAAAUUUUCGCACUUGAAUUCGCACGUUGGAAUGAAUUUCGCACCUUGAAUUGUGGUGUGCGAAAUGCCACUCGUGCGCCAGGGAGGUGUUUCGCACGGUGCGAAAAUUUUCGCACCUUGAAUAGUGGUGUGCGAAACUGAUGUUUAGAGAAUUCGCACCUUGGACUGAGAUUUUCGCACCUUGGAAUGAAUUUCGCACCUUGAAUAGUGGUGUGCGAAAUUUUCGCACCUUGUUUCGCACCGUACAAAAAUUGGCUUGAGGUGUGCGAAAUGGCACUCGUGUGGCUGGAGAGUGUUUCGCACGGUGCGAAAAUUUUCGCACCUUGGAUUGAGGUGUGCGAAAUUCCCGCUCAGCUCGGUGCAGUUUUCUUGCAAUGACCAUAACUUUUUCGUUUCAACUCCGAUUUGGACACCGUUUAAAGAGUUGGACUCCUGACUUCCCGAGCUUCGAAAUGGUAUAUAGUAUGUAUAAAAUGGACUCGAGAAAGUGCUCCAAAUAUGUCCCGAAGUGGAAAUAGAACCAAUGGCCAGAAUUCUCUCUUCUCUUCCUUUUCUUUCAUCAUUUUUGCAAUCCCUCCUGCAAUGAUCAUCCAAAAACUUAUAUUAAAUCAAAACUAAUUAAAAUUAAAGCAUUGAAAUCAAAAUUAAAACAAGUAAUAAAGCAAAAAGAUAUGGACUAGCUAGUCUUUAGAAAGACUAAGUCCAUAAAAAAAAAAUGUUGUCCUGUUUCAGCUUGCCCGGAUCCCAUAUGAAGUUAGCAUCCUUCAUUAGAGAUUUGCAUUGUAUGAUGGCAAUGGAAACAAUUCCCUUUCUCUUUCCUUUAAUUUCCUCCCUCUUCUUUUUCUCUGUUUCAUUCUCUGUUUCAUGCUCUUGUUUGGAUGUGGCCAAAUCAACCUCUUUACCACUCCUUAGAGUGAUCACGACUUUAACGUCUCUCACUUGUGAAGAUUCUCUCUUAUGAGCCUUGAGAUUGAGUAUUGGAGAUUAUCUAUCUUUUGAGAUAGAUCAUUUUGUAUUUCAUCCAUCCUUUUAUUCAAUGAACUCUCUACACUAUCAAUUCUUUGACUGAGCUGAGCAUUGAUGGAUUUCUGAGCUCCAACAAAGUCUACCCCGACCUUGCUAAGAUUCACUAUAGCUUGUUCAAGGUUCGAGGCUUGCUGAGGUGCUUGAACAUGUUGCUUGUACUGAGGUGGCUGUGGUUUCCAUGAGAAAUUUGGAUGGUUCCUCCAAUUGGAAUUGUAGGUGUUGCAAUCACCAAACAUUUCCCUCACGGCUAGAAUGGUAGGACACUCUUCCACCAAGUGCUCAUAAGAUAGACAAAUGGCACAAGGCAUAGGUUGCAAUGGUGUCUGAGAGAUGGCUUGCACUUCUUGCAUCUUCUUCAUUUCUAACUCUUCCAAUCUCCUUGCCAUAGUUGCAAUCUUUGCCUUCAUGUCUAUGCCAUCAUUCGAAAUAUACAUCUCACCCUUAGCAUUAGGUUGAGACUUCAUUAUCCCCAUAUCUCUAGCAUUUGGUUCAUCCCAUCCUCUUGAAACUACAGCCACAUAACUCAUGAAGUUCAUGGCUUCCUCUACUAUCUCGUAUUCAAUAUGGCAUGCACAACUAGCAAUUUGUGAAUUAAAAACAGAGAAAACAAAAGAAAAACAAUUCUAAAAAAAAAAAAAUUAAGACUAAGUAAAACUAGCUGAAAGGUAAACUAAAACAAAAAUAAAGAAAAAGAACAAUUAAAAAGAGUUAGUAAAAGAAAAGAAAAAUCACCAAACUUGUGAUGAAGAUCACAAGUGUUCUCAAAAGAUCAUAUCACUGCAAAGUGGCACCAUCCCCGGCAACGGCGCCAUUUGAUUCGUGCCUAAUUGGUGUAUCAGCUGAUUCAUGUCCAGCUGGUGCUCCUUGAUUGAGGGAGUAAUCAACAAAAUUUAUAACCUAUUACACCAUGUACUAGGGUAGCAAAGACGAAGCUACUAUAGCAUAGUGGCUCUAGGAUCAUUCACUGGAAUGGGUUUUCACUUCACAAAUGAUAUUAAUUCAAAGAUGAAUUGGUGCUUUUUCAUUUCAAGGUUAGCUUUAAAAGAAGACAUAAGUUUGAAUGAAAACGGAUGGUAUUAAGCUAACCUAACAUAAAGUAACUAAAAUUAACUAGAAAGAAAUUAGAAAGAAAGGUGUUUCUUAGGAUUUCAGGUUACUAGGAUCAGGUGCCAACUGUAAAGUGGGAAAUUUCGGAUUUUUCUUCUCGCAUUGGGGACAACAACAUAAAGGAUGGUUGUUUCCCAAACCGGUAUAGGUUUAACAAUGAAGAUUUAAUCCAUAAAAAGUCAAUAGAAAUGGUAGUCAAGUUCCAUUAAUGGCUUUAGACACUAUGGGUCUUCACCUUAGAAUCACUUUGAAUGGCCAAUACAUGGUAAGCUUCCGGUCUCUGUGGAUGCAUAUUGCUACAUCCAUAUCAAUCCAUUAGUUAUCAUGUACUAGCCAUUGGAAAGUGAUUCAAGGUGAAGACCCAUAGUGUCUAAAGCCAUUAAUGGAACUUGACUACCAUUUCUAUUGACUUUUUAUGGAUUAAAUCUUCAUUGUUAAACCUAUACCGGUUCGGGAAACAACCAUCCUUUAUGUUGUUGUCCCCAAUGCAAGAAGAAAAAUCCGGAAUUUCCCACUUUACAGUUGGCACCUGAUCCUAGUAACCUGAAAUCCUAAGAAACACCUUUCUUUCUAAUUUCUUUCUAGUUAAUUUUAGUUACUUUAUGUUAGGUUAGCUUAAUACCAUCCGUUUUUAUUCAAACUUAUGUCUUCUUUUAAAGCUAACCUUGAAAUGAAAAAGCACCAAUUCAUCUUUGAAUUAAUAUCAUUUGUGAAGUGAAAACCCAUCCCAGUGAACGAUCCUAGAGCCACUAUGCUAUAGUAGCUUUGUCUUUGCUACCCUAGUACAUGGUGUAAUAGGUUAUAAAUUUUGUUGAUUAAUCCUUCAAUCAAGGAGCACCAGCUGGACAUGAAUCAGCUGAUACGCCAAUUAGGCACGAAUCAACAACAUAUCAUAUCCCAUGUUUGGUUAGUGAUAGAAGAAGAUAAGUUAACCUCACAACUUGUCAUAUCUUAUAUUCAACCAAACAUGGAAUAGGGUAACUCGAUAUUAUCAAUUGUUUAUAUAUAUAUUACUUAUCUUGCAAAAUAUUUUUUUCGUUAAAAAAGGAAAAUUAAAAAAAUUUAUAAAAUAUAUUAUUAAAUAAUAUUAAUAUAUUUAUUAUUCAAUAUAUACAAAAUAUUUUUAUAUAUUGAAUAUCAUAAUAUAUAUAGUAAAUUUUAAUUUAUAAAGUUUAAAUAUUUUAAUUAUGAAUAUUAUUAAAUGUAAAACAUAAAAAAUAUUGAAAUGUAAUAUAAUUUUUAAUUUAAACAUUGAAAAAUAAUAUAUACUAUAUCUUAUUUUUAUUCAUUUACAAAUUAAAUAUAAACAUAAUAUAAUAGACCCAUUGAAUAUAAUAUUCAAUAACAUCAUAUCUUAUUAAAAAUCAUAUAUUUACAUUUCCUAAUAUACAUAUAUAUUCUAUCCUACUAACCAAACAUAACCUUAAAAUAUUUUCAAACAUUUUCAUAACUUCUAUCAAUUUGCAUUCCACCCAAAUUUUGUUUUCUUUUGUUUCACAUUUUUCAUCCCAUAUUUUUCAUAUUUAUAUAAAUUCAAGUACCAACUUUUAAUACCUUCAUCAUUUUCAACAUUGUUGUAGAGAGUCAUAAAAAACUUAUUUAUUUUUAAUUAAAUGAGAUUCUGUCAACAUAUUUUUAAAAUGAGAAAUUAACACUCAUAUAAUAAUCUUAUUUUUUGUAGUGUGGCAUCUCAAAAUAUUGAAAAUUUUCUAGCAUUCGUUGUAAAAUGACUAAAAUCAUCAAAAAUAUUUUUCUUCACUUACAUAAUUAUUAAAUAAGUUUUUAUCUUUUAUUUUUAAAAGUAAAAAAAAAAAUUUGAAUACCAAAAAUAUUUAGCAUUUAUAGAAAUUAGAAACAACAUUUAUAUUUUCUAUCUAAAAAGAGAAAAAUUAAAAGUCUCAUAUUGACUUACCUACAACAAAAAGGAUCCUAAAAUCAACCUAACAAACUUCAAACAAGCAAUAAUCAGCAUAAACCAAACCCCAUCUCACACUUCAACUUGCACUGCACUUACAAUUAACAAAACAGACCCAUAAGAAAACAAAAGAGCAGGAUGAGUUUUUUCAUAUUCUUGUUUGCCAUAUUCUUGUUUGCCAACUGCGCUUUCAGGUGUUUUCUAAUAACAUAUUUGGUGGGGUGCUCAUGCAAUCUCCUUUUGUACAUGAUUUUGAUCAAAGAGAAAUGUUUUGCUUCUACCUUUUCCCUGGAAGUAACAUCAGUGGGAAGGUUCACUAGCUUUGCUUUAGAACUAGCUUUAUUUUAACUUUUCAUUUAUAAAAUCAUCCCCCAUAUUGGAAGUACUUCAUUUCUAUGCCUUCAAAUGGAUCUACCAAUAUAUGCCAUUUCUUUCAAAUUCAUUCUUUGAUCAUGUUGCAUUCAGGUUGAACAUUAAUAUCCUGUACUGAUGACCUUCUGUAGUGGUGUUGACAUUGAUCUUGACAAUGUCAACAAAUCACUAAAGAGAAGCGCAUGUACAAGUGCAAAAGAUAGGCACAAAUACUUUGCAAGGGCACACAAACACAAUAAUUUACAUGAGAGUUUGAUUUCAUUUGCCUGCAAAAUCAACCCAUUUUUACAGCUAUAGGCUUGCCUUAUACAUGUCCAAAAAGCAUACAAGACCAAUAAUCCGUUGAUUUGGACUUUGUCUAGGAUGACUACGUAUGGAAUAAAUAUGAGGAGUCACAAUACUGUCUGUUCAGACUCAUAAUAUUCAAAUAAUGUCUGUAUUAGACCCUAUUAGCACUUUAAAGAUUUCAAUGACUACGUAUCGGUCAAACUAGUGAACUAUGAAUUAGUAAUUUUUUUUUAUUCAAUGACUGAUCUUAUUCUAAAAACAUUGAUUUAAAAGAUUUCAAAUUAACACUACCUAAAGGCAUUGAUAUAUAUGUAGAGGCUUUGGGUGUCAAUUAAGCCUAAAUAUUUAAUUACAUCUCUUCUAGUAUUUAAGUGUGCACACGUGAUGCAACUUUUUGUUUGAAUGAUAUUACAUGGACAAUUACUUGUUGAAUAUUUAAAUGUUAAAAAUAAUAAUAUUAUUAAAGAAAACUUGGAAAUAAACAUUUAAUGACUCAAAUUUUCUUUAUUUCUAAAAUUAAAUUAUACUUCUCUCUUCUUUAAACAAUUUUUUCAUAAAUGAAUGUGUUCAAACAUUUUUCAAGAUCUAUUUAUCUGGAUAAACAUAACUUUUAGAAUUUUCUUUUAUCUUCUCUUCAUUUAUAUUCAUAAUUGUUUUGAAUUAAUUUUUAUUUAUCUAUUAAAAAUUAGUUGUGGUUUACAUUCUUUGUAUAAUAUUUAUUAUUAUCCUCAUUAUUAUAAUAAUAAAGAAAUGAUUAAAAAUAUUUGCUGAAAAAUAAGGUUAAAAAAUUUUAUAUAAGAAAAAUAAAAUGUGGUAAACUUGUUUUUAGGCAAACCCUUAAAUAUUUUCAUUAAUUAUUAUUAUUAUUAUUUUUUUUUACAAUUUUUUCAAAUUCAUGUGGUAUAAUUUGAGUGAAAAUUUAUUAAAAACUUGAAAAAUAAAUAUUUGAUAUAUUUAAUAAUCUUGUUUUCCAGGCAAUAAAAUCUUCUUGUCUGUUGAAGCCUCGCAUCACCCGGGGUUCUCGCAGUAGCCAGAUGGACGCUCCCUUUCAAUUGAUGAUGAUUCAUGCCUCAAUCAACCUGCAAAAGAUGUCCGGACAGGUUGUCUGGACACACCCUUCGAUGGUUUUGUUAGCCUUCUCUCUGAUAAUCAAUCUUCCCUUUUUACUGAGUAAGAAAGCUUACCUUCUCUCCUCGCAUGAAGGUUCUUUUAUAGUGUCAGAAGUUCUGUCCCCUUUAAUGGUGGGAAGACUUUUUGGCUUGUCAUGAUGGCGCUGAGGUAGUGGCAGAGCCAUCAUUGUCUUGCAGGCGCCUGUCAGAUAUUGUGGAGGGGAUGGCUUACCGUUAUUCCUGUCCUUUUGCUCUACAGACGGCGGAGUGCGGGCUGUGACAGGUUGUCUGAGGUGACUCAGUAUGGUCCUGUCGAAAGUGCUUCUGGCAGUGUAGGCCAGGAUGGCCUACAUUUCACGGGCAAGGCUUUUGAUUAAGUUGCUAACGCUGGGUCCGGACAACAUAUCUAGACAAGAGAAUGAGUCAUCCGGACCGUGGGUUUGAGAGUGUCGUACGCCCCCCGAAGGGAAUCCGGAUAGAGAGUUGAUGUGCCAUGUGUCCCCUGGAGGGGUGCUGUGCGGGGUUGCUACGUGGGCGUUUGGGGGUGGUCCCUACAAUGCCUCCCUUUUAACCUGGCUAUUUUGCCCGAGCAGAAAAGGCGGGUUAAAAAUGAUGCUUUUAAACCCUUCGUUUCUUUUUUGGGGUUUAUGUGCCACGUGGUACUGCAAAAGGGGGGGUAUUUAUGGCGAGCCGCUGUUCUUGGGGGGAUUUCUAGGUGGCAUGUCGUUUCGAUAGUGGUGCAGUUGGGUGCCUAGUAGUUUGGAGGACCAAGGAGUCGCAUCCCUUAAAUAGGGAAUCCAGCCCCCGCGACUGCAUUUUUCAUUCUGCAUUUUUUUCUCAUCUAUAUUUUCCCUUUGCCUCUCUAUUCAUCUUCAUUUGUGACCGAGGGUCACUUUCUAGGGCUUCUGUUAGCGGCAUUCUUGUCACAAGGGCGACUGUAUCGCGGCCUUCGUUCCAGUUGCAAGCUUGCGCCAGGUAUGUUCUGUAUUUCUAUCUCUUCAUCUUAAGCUUCCUGUUUCUUCGGAUUUUGUUGGCUUGUUGGGUAUUUUGUUUGCAAUUGAGGGUCAGAGGUAAUGUUUAGGGUUUUUCAGGGGGUUUUGAUUUUGCUUUGGGCCCAUUGUGGUUUUUGUUGCCCUCCUGUUGCCUUUGCGGAUGACUGAACCGCAUUUGGGGUAGAGUUAGGGGUUAGGCUUGGGGUUUUGGCUAUUUUAGGCCUUCUGGGUCAUUUGUUCUCAGGGUUGUGGGGCGAGGUACCUCUGUUUUGACAGUUGGCAUUUCGCCAUGCAGGUUUUGUCUCAGCCCCACGCUUUAACAUGCCUGCGAAAAAUGAUGUGACUUCGUCUAGUACGGCUGGACCUAGCGGAAAAAGUGUAUUUGGGCAGACCUACUUGGGAAAGCCUACUGACAAGUUGAACGAGAGGGAGUUUUGUGAGCGUUUCUGAAUCCCGAAUGAUGUCUCUGUUUAGCUAGUGGACAGGGAUGCUAUGUCCACUGAGAAAGCUGCCAACCACGCCGUUUACUUUUCCAAGGAGCAAUUCAAUGCAGGGCUCCCGUUUUCUUUUUCGUCUCUCUUCAAAGAGUUCCUCCACUUCACUCAGAUUCCUCUAGCUUAUGUCCAUCCCAAUAUUGUCCUGGUGUUGAUGGGGUGCAGCAUCUUAAAUAUGCUGUUCAAUUUGGAUCUUUCCUUGCUGGAGGUCCUCUUUGUUUACACCAUCAAGAAGGGGAAGACAGACCUCUUCAGCUUGUUUGCUCAUAUCCCAUCCCUUCAAUUGGUGACCAACCUUCCGGAUUCGAACAAGGGGAGAGCCAAAGGGCAUGUACUGGUCAGGGGUCACUGGGCCGGUCUGUCGAAGCCUUCGGAAAGGGAGUUUACCCCCAACCGUUCGUUGACGCUUCCGGGUAGGGUAGCUCUUGGUGUAUGUCCGGUGUUGGUUUUUGACUCUUGAUUCAGUGUUAUCAGAUGACUAACCUCUUUUGUUUUGGGUAACGCAGGUACACACAAGAGGGGUCGCUUGGUCGAGUGGCUGGAGAAGGCCUCUUUUGAUCGUUUGAACAGGCUGUUCGAGAUCAUUUCCAUCGAGAGGCACUAUCAGACACUUCUUUCUACCUGGAACCUGUUGGCGGUCGUCCGGGAACCUCAGCCGUACGUCCUCAAUAUUCUCCCCAGGCGACUACCCAAGGUUGUAGUGUCCGGGGAACACUUUGUGCUGAAGGAUCUGCCUUUUUACGAAAGGGCUAGCGAGGCUAACGCAAAGGCGCGCCAGGAGUGCCUUGACCAGCGGGAGGAGAAGAGGCAGGAGGGGACACUAAGGAAAACACCUGUAAGAGAAAGAGCCUAGCGAGAAGGGACACGACUCUUCUCCCGCGGUCCGUCCUCCGACUACAAAGAAGAAGAAAAAGAAAACCAUUGCGCAGGCUCUCCAGGUAGUGUCUCCGGCUCCUGAUCUUUCAUCUUCAUCCUCCGACUCUGUGUCCAGUCGACCGAAUAACCCUGCCCCGGAGCCUGAGGAUACUUCUAGCUUCCCACAGCUUGAGACUUUCCGUUCGGGGCCUGGCUCUUUCCAGCCUCAAUUGGACUUCGUUGGCCUGAGAGUCGUGCAUGAGCCGGAGGAAGUGAGCGACAUGAACGACCUCAGAACCGGGUUUUUACAAAGGCAUCGUAAGCGGCUGUAUGAUCCCAUAGAUCUUGCACCUCCUCCAGCCAGGAAGGAUUGCCCAGAGAGAGAUGAUGAGGAUCUGACGAUAGAAGUUCCUUUGUCAGCUAUGGCCCAUUCGGAUGAGGCGAGUUCUAGCGCGGCUGCAGCGGUUCAGCCAGACGCUGCAGGAUCUGAUGCAGCGGCAAUGACUCGGCCCGAAGUUCCAGGGCCUAACGCAGUGACCGUUGCUCAACCAGGCGUAACUGCUCACAACAACGCCCCGACUGCCAUGGAGACCCGUGGGACAGAGGGGGUUCUGGAGGCAGCGAUUGACGAGGAGGCUUCGAACAAGAAGAGUAGUCCAGCUGCCAUGGUUCCUCCAAGCUGGGAGGAAAUGAUGGAGAUGCUGAAGGGAGUGUCAUGUUUCACGGAUGUGGAGGCUCAUUCCACAAGGAUGUCUGACUUUUUUUCGCUUACCAAGCGGGUCUCUGUGAAUAUGGGUGGUGAUCCUCCUGCCUUUGUCAAGGCCCGACUUCCUUUUAGCACCCCUGAGUCCGCCGUUUCUUAUAUUCAACAUCUGCAGGAGUGGACGAUCCCUGAUACUGCAGAAGUGGUAAUCAUUUCUUUGCUACUUUUUCCUUCUUCCUUAGCAACUGUUACUCCUUUGCACGACAUUAGCUUUUAUUUUGUUGUUGUUCUGCACAGGUCGUGGCUGGCAUCCACUACAUGAUGCAUAUCUGCGAACAACUCUUCAAGCGGCUGGAAGUGGUGGAGGCUAUGCGCGCCUUCAUCUCUCACCAUCUGGGCGGCGUUGAGGAGAUGCGCUCACGGUUAGAGAAGGUGGAGGCUGAGUUGGCCACUGCUCAAAAGGCCGUAGCGGAUGGGGCGGAGAAGUUGAGCCAGGCUGAGGAGGAGAAGGGGACUGUCCGGGCUAAGGUGAACUUGCUGAAAAGGGAAAAAGGGGCCUUGGAGGGUCAAAUCAAAGGGGUGGAGCAAGAGAAUUCUCAACUUAAGAAGGAGGUGGACGAACUUCAGGCUAGCCUCGCAGCUCAAAAGGAGACAGAGAGGUUGCAGGCAAGCCUAGUUGCUCAGAGGGAGGAGAUGGAGGCCGGGUUUGUCGCUCAGAAGAAGGAGUUGGAGACGGAGUAUCAAAGGCAGGUAGAGGAGAUGUACUUGUUCGACUACCGUUGUUGCAUGAAGAAGAAUGACAUUAUGCAUGAUGUUCUAUCUCUUCCUUGUGACGAUGAGGAUGCGAUACCCGGAGGCCCUUCUUGCUGAGAUUUCUUUGUGUGCAGUACUCCUUAUACUUUUUCUCUUUGUUUUGCUGCUUUUGGGGUGGCGGAUUUUGUAAAGACAAUUUUUCAGUCCUUUAUAAAUGCUUUAGACUUCUUUGUUUUUCUCUACCUUUAGCUUCUCUUUAUUGGUAAUAUUGCUUAAGGUUAGAUACAUUCCAUGGACAGAGCAAGUCUAACUUUUGUAGGUGAUAGGCUCCGCUUUCACUUGUCUUAGUUACAAUAUAAGGACCUUCCCAAUUCGCUUGGAAUUUCUCGGCUCCUCUUUCAGCGGUGUUUUCGAAAACCUUUCUAAGGACCAGCGUUCCAAUCUUGAAGACCCGGGGUCGUGCCUUGUGGUUAUAGUGAGUGGCCGCUCUUUGCUGGUAGUCAGCCAUCCGAAUGGACGCGUUUUCUCUCACUUCAUCCUCCCAGUCUAGGUUCCUUCCUAGUUCCACUUUCAUCACUUUGUCCUCGUGCAUCAGUCCGAAUAAUGGGCAAGCCUAUUUCUGUGGGGAUGAUUGCAUCCAUGCCGUAUGCAAGGGCGAAGGGAGUGUUUCCCGUGGGUCGGCCGGGCGUGGUUCGGUAGGCCCAUAGGACGCAGGGCAGUUCCUCUACCCACUUUCCUUUGGCCUGCUCGAGCCUCUUCUUUAAGGCAGUCACCAAGGUUUUAUUUGUCGCUUCUGCCUGCCCAUUGCUUUGAGGGUAAGGCGGUGUGGAGUACAAAUUCUGGAUUUUGAGCUCCGAGCAGAAAUUCCGGAAGGCGAUGCUGUCAAACUGUGGACCAUUAUCGGCUAUGAUUGCUUGAGGGAUCCCAAAGCGGCAAAUGAUGUUCUUCUACACAAAUUUGGUGACAUCCUUGUCCUUGAUGCUGGCAUAUGCCUCUACUUCUACCCAUUUGCUGAAGUAGUCUUUGGCAACGAGUAGAAAUUUCUUCUGGGCAGCCACGGUUGGUAAAGGUCCUAAUAUGUCCAUCCCCCAUUGUGCAAAAGGCCAAGGGUUGGAAAUUGGCUUCAACGUUUCAGAAGGCGCAUGCGGUAUGGGGCAUGCCUUUGGCAUUUGUCACACUUCUUGACAUAAGUCGUCACGUCUCUCUUAAUAGUGGGCCAAUAGUAGCCCUGCGAGUGUGCUCGAUGCGCCAAAGAUCGUCCUCCGAGGUGAUUGUCGCAUACACCCUCAUGUAACUCAGCUAAUAUGUAUUGAGCCUCUAAGCAGUCUAGGCACCUGAGGUAGGGGCCUGUAAAAGAUCGUUUGUAAAGGUGCUCCCCGAUCAGAGCGAAACGGGCAGCUUGUACCCGGAUCUUGUGCGUUUGCUUGGGUUCAUCAGGUAGAGAUCCUGUUCGGAGGUAUCCUGCUAUGACUUCCGUCCACUCCUGGCCCUCUUCCUGGCUCUCCUCAAUAGUAUUGCAAGUGGAUGCUUUUGUGAUGGAAGGAUCAGUCUACACAUAUAUAGGCAAUAAUAUGGCCUCUUUGAUGGGCAGGGAAGCAGCUAUUCUUGCCAGGGCGUCAACACGUACGUUAUCAGCUCGUGGGAUUUUUUCUAUGGUCCAUUCGCCCAACCGUUGCAGGGUGUUAGAUAUCGUGCCAUAUCAAGGACGACCCCUGCAAUUCCGGGAUAUACCGAUUCUAGAUCAGGCCUAGAGUUCGCCCCCUGGCCUCUUGGGCAUUGGUCAUGAGGAGGCCUCGAGGACGAAACUUGGAUGUGUAACACCGCGUUUUCUUCUCUUAGUCUCGUCAUUUCUCGGAGAAGAGCUUGCAUUUGUCGUUCGCUCUCCAACUGUCACCUUUCCAUGGUCUCGCGCCAUUCGAAAUAGCCUUCAUCUCCUCUGGCUGACGAACGACUCUUGGAAGGUGUGGGCAUCUUUGUCGUUGAUUGAGCAACUUCCCACAGACGACGCCAAUGUUGAAGCCUCGCGUCACCCGGGGUCCUCACAGUAGCCAGAUGAACAUUCCCUUUCAACUGAAGAUGAUUCCUGCCUCAAUCAACCUGCAAAAGACAUCCGGACAGGUUUUCCGGACACACCCUCCGAUGGUUUUGUUAGCCUUCUCUCUGAUAAUCAAUCUUCCUUUUUUAUUGAGUAAGAAAGCUUACCUUCUCUCCUCGCAUGAAGGCUCUUUUAUAGUGUCAGAAGUUCAUCCCCUUUAAUGGUGGGAAGACUUUUUGGCUUGUCAUGAUGGCGCUGAGGUAGUGGCAAAGUCAUCAUUGUCCUGUAGGCGGCUGUCAGAUAUUGUGGAGGGGAUGGCUUGCCGUCAUUCUUGUCCUUUCACUCUGUAGGCGGUGGAAUGCGGGCUGUGACAGGUUGUCUAAGAUGACUCAGUAUGGUCCCGUCGAAAGUGCUUCUGGCAGUGUAGGCCAGGAUGGCCCGCGUUUCACGGCCAAGGCUUUUGAUUAAGUUGCUAAUGCUAGGUCCGGACAACAUAUUCAGACAAGAGAGGGGGUCAUCCAGACCGUGGGUUUGAGAGUGUCGUACGCCCCUCAGAGGGAAUCUGCAUAGAGAGUUGAUGUGCCACGUGUCUCCUGGAGGGGUGUUGUGCGGGGUUGCCACAUGGGCGUUUGGGGGUGGUCCCUACAUUGUCCAACUCACGUUAAUGUAUUAAAUUAAUAAUCUCACUAAAUAUAUAAGAUAAUAGUUAUUUAGAAAUUCUUCAGAGUCUAAUAAAAUAUAAAUUAAUAACUAAUGAAAUAUGUGGAAAAAAAACAAAAGAAUUCAUAAUACAAACUUUCUCAAAAUAUACAUUGAAAUUUAUUUAUUUUCUUUGCACCUAAACUAACUCAAUUUUAUCUUUAUUUUUUUGUAAUAUAUAUACACUAAAUUAAUAAAUUAUUGAUUUAUUGAUAAAUUAAUAAUUCCUUUUGAUUCAAGAAUAAUAUUUUAUUUUAUAGGGUGUUUUCCUAUAGCUAGGAGUGGCGCAAAGGAGAUAGCAAAUAAUUAUCCAUCAAUGAGUUACUGGCUUACUGCUGCUUCCGGGUUAUGUACGCCGCUUUAGUCAAGAUCUUCAUUGCAACCUAUAACAAGCUAAGCUCUAAGUCAAGUCAAUUGGUCCCCCAUCGUAAUUACCCAAAUGAGAUUGUAUAGAAUCACACUUUCAUCUUUGAGUGAAAGAAGAAGCCUUCCUUGACUGAUUCACUCCUUCAGCAAAUGAAUUGCAUGGAAACGAGAUAAAUGUCUUUGAUGCAAAGUAAGGUAAAAAAAAUAGAGGUAGAGUUAGGUGGAGUUUGUUUUUUUUGACUUUUUAUUAAAAGUAAUUUAUUUUUAAAAUUUAGGUAGUUUAUUUAUUUUUUUUUUAUCACUUAUUAUACAUUUUUUAUUGAAUAGAAAAAAUUAAAAUAUUUAAUUUUUUUAAAUAGAAAAAAUAAUAUAUUGAUUUUUUAUUACUUUUUAAUAUUUAAUAGAAAUAAAAUAUUAUUAAAAAAGCAACCUAAUAUUUAAUACUAUUAAGUAUUAAGUUUCUAUUUAGAAUUAAGCAAAAAAAACAAACACCGUCUUAGAAUUUUAAGUGUCUGCUAAAAAAGCAAUGAAAUCCCAAUUUUAGCGAAAAAUAAGAAAUGUGAAUCCCAGGUUUUGAACUUCAAAACUGAAGAAAAGAAUGUACAAUUUAUUCAAAACUUUUAGGCCCCACUUAAAAACAUGGAAAAUUUGACAAAAAUAAAUAGAAUAGACGGUCAGCAAGCGGUUAAGUUGAGGCCGCCCACCAUAAUUGACAAAAUGAAACCGUAUGGAAAACGGAGACUUUUGGGCCAAAAUGGCCCAUUUUUGAAACUUAACAUUGAAAGUGGUCUCAUUUCCAAACUAUUGUUCAAAAUGGCCCCUUGAAGCCAUAUCAACCCAUAAAUCAAUAUUUUAUAUUGUUUUUACUUUACCAUUUCCAUCCCCGUGCUCUGUUAUCUUCCAUGCUGCUGUUCUCUCUUCUGUGUGAUUUUUUUUCUAAACCCUAGCCCCACCAGUAGGCCACUAAAAAAGACGGUGGAGCUACAAAGCAUAAAGUUUAAGGUGAGUCAUAAUCUUCUUUUUGGCUUAUAUAAGUUUUUGGCACUUUCCAAUUUUUUUUCCCAUCUCAAAAUCUCGAUUUUUAGAAUUUUUUUUUUUUCCCAUUGUUGUGAAUGAUUGGUUAGGGAGUGUGGUUAUGGUGAAUUAAUGGCUGUUAGUAUCAGAUUUUGGGGCAAUCGUUGGGGAGGAUUAGGCUUGCGGUGUCGGCAUUGAGGAGCUACUCAGUCUACGGAAAAACAGGUGAGAUGGGUUGUAUUGAUUGUGUUUUGUUGCUCUGUUUGGUUGGUGAGAAUUGACUAUAAGGAGAGUAAAUUAUUGUCACAAAAAACCAAGGCCCUCCCAUUGCAGCUGUUGGGCUUAAUUAAAAUGAGUUUUUAAUGUUCUAAAAAACAGAACAAGAAAAGGAAAUGAGCAUGAAAAAGAUGGUUGUUGCUUAAAAAAAUGGAGGUUUUGGGUUUGUUUUUUUUUUUUUUUUUGUAUUUAAGUCCAUGUUUGCAAUAACCUUUUGUUUCAAUAAGCAGCUGACCACAAAAAAAUUAUCCAAUUUCCAUUUCAAUAAUUUAAAAUUUGUAUUAUAUUUUAAAUAUUUUUUUAGGUAUCCCAGGAUUAAUAUUUGUGUGUGCAUGAGUCAUGACUCUCAAUCAAAUUAAUUUUAUGUAAUAUUUGAAUAGUAAUAGGAUUUAUGAUAAUAUUAUUUAUAUACUAAAUCCAUCUCCAUAAUUUUUCAAAGAUGAAAGAAAAAAAUAGGGUUAAUUAUGUAAAUUUGUAGUGUGAAACGGUUGCUUGAAACGGAUUAGGAGAGGUUCAAAUUGGUUUGGACUUUGGGUAGAAAAUGCAUUACACAUAAAGAUUAUAAUGCAUUUUUAAUUUAAAUUUGAAAAUAACAAAAAUAUAAUAUUCUAUAAUAUUUAAAUAAUAAAAGGAUUUAUGAGGAUAUUAUCAUAUAUAUGAAAUUAACUUAUAAGAUUUUGUAGUUAAGGGGAAAAAAAUUAGGAUUAAUUGAAAAGAAUUUUUUGAAAUUAUUAUGGGGCAUUAAUUAAUAAUAUUAAUAGCCAUAGAUAAAGAUUUAAAAAAAAUGAAAGUUGUAAAUAAUGAUAAAUAUAUUUGAAUGGAAUGAUUUUUAAUUCUUUUUUCUUUUUUUAGAAUUUGAGUGGAAUAGGGAAUGUGUUUGCUAAGAAUUUCGACCGACUCAAUAGAUAAUGUGAGUCUCCAAGCCAUGUUUCAGAAAUCUGGCGAUAUUCUGUUUUGUAAAGUGGUUGUGACCUUGGCUGAACCGAUGAUAUGUUGGAUUGAAUCUGUUCUUAAAGAUGUCUCCAAUUUCUACUUGUUCUGAAUGUGAGACAACACAUUGUCAUUAAUAUGAUUGAAUUUAGGAUGUUUUAUUUCUGUGUCAGUCUACCCAUGCAUUCACUUACACUCAUUCCUUGUCUUUGAAGGAGGAAAUGCCUCAACAUUCAAAAUAUUUUAUUUUUCCCAAACUGAAGUGAAGUAUUUGAUAGAAGUUCUACUAUUAUGGAAGUAUUGUUAUGAAUUGCUCAUCUAUUUGAGGUUAUAAUAUAAAAUACUAGCUUUUUAAAAGUAACGAAUUAAGGUAUGGGAAACGUGUUCUGUUAACUGUAGAAAUAUUUUUAUAUAUUUUAUGGUUAUUUAAAUAUAUUUUUUGGUUAUCUAAAUUUAAUGUUUCUAUCAUAAACUGGAUGUAUCUUGCAUGAAUAUAUAUAUAUAUAUAUAUAUAUAUAUGUAUAUAACAUGUUUGCUAGGAAAAAAAUGAUUUUGGAUAUAAACAAUUUCAAAGUAAAAAAUGAAUAAAUAAUUUUUUUCUGAUCAAGAGAUCUUGAAUAAUUUUGUCUCAACAGCUCUUAAAUAUAAAAUACUCAUCUAGAAUUUUUUUGCCUUGAUAUCAAGAAAACUUCUCAAAUAUGAGUAAACACUUUUUUUUUUUUAAAAAAAAAAAAGCCAGAUUCUUAAAGUACAGAUAUUUUCUCUUUAAAAAGACUUUUGUAUUUGGUUAUAUCCAAAAAUUUAAUUUUUAUUUAAUUAUAUUUUUUAAAGAUAUCAAAAUUACCCAUACUUUUAAUAAAAAUAUUAUUAAAACAAAAUAGUAAAAGUAUAAAAUGAAUGGUCCAACUCUAAAAAAACCUAUUAUAAAAUAGACCAUAUACCUCAUGUUUGAUGACUCCACUUAGACUACUAGAUUGUGGAUGUGAUGGGAGUGGAAGAGGAUGAAAGGGAGGCCAAAAGUGAACCCAUCUGGAAAAACUUUGAUUAUGGGUUGGAGAAAUUGAAUGUGGGUAGGGAUCAUAUUGUUUAUGUGAUCCUUUGUCAAUUGGGUUGUACUUCAUUUUCGUGAGUGCACACUAGACAGUAUUACAAAUGGUGUGGCCCUUGGACACGUCUAGAUGUUCAAGUAGGGUGUGAUGCCAGGGAAUAUAAAAAAAAAUUGUUAAGAAAGCAUUUUUAUUAUUAUACUAGAAUUUAGAAUCACAAUCUACAUGCUAUCUACAUUUUGCAAUGCAAGCAUAAUAGCAAGGAAGGUUAUCAAAUAUGAUUUUCAAGAUCUAAUUUUUAAAAUAAUUCUAAAUAGAAGAUCAAACUUUUUAAUUUUAUGUUCCAUAUAUAAAACAAUAUAAUAACCUUAGGAUAUGGUUUUUAUUUAUGAGAUAUUGAAAAUUAUUUUUUUUACAAGGUUCUUUAGAAAAUCUCAUUUUUUAUUUAAAAUAACAUAUUUAUUUUUAAAAAUAUAUUUAACAGAUAAUUUUGAGUUGUAAAAGAAUUAACAUAAUUAACACAUAUUUAUUUUAAAAUUUAAUUUUUAAUAUAAAAAUAUUAAUUUCAUUUUAUCAAAAAAAUAUUAAAAGUUAAUCUCAUCCUAAUUAUGAAAUUAGAAAAAUAAACUAAACGUGUUUGUAACCCAAACACAUGUAAAACAUUUUAUUGGACCACAAAAAUAAUAUUAAUUCAUAAUAUCAUCCUACUCUUUACUUAUACACUUAUUUGCUUAUACAUUGCUUUCAUUUGAGUUGAACUUGGUAUUUAGACAUGAAGCUUUGUUACAUUCCAAUAUUUAUUAGGUUUAUUAUUGUAUUUUAUGAAUCAUUGACCAUAAAGUAUUAUUUUUUACUUGAAUAAAUAUUAUUUUUUUUAUGUAAUAACCUUUUGUUAUUAUUUAUGUGAAGGCAAUUAUGACUGACUCCACAGUAGAAGUGCUAUGUCAUUGGAAUGGAAUAAUUUUGAGGACAGAAAUGGAUUUGAGAUAUAUUGGAAAUAAUGUAGAGAUUGAGCCUAUAGAUGUGCCAAUUCAUAUGACCUUUGUGGUGUUGUUGAAAAUGAUAUAUGAUAUCAUUGGUGUUGAUAGAGACUAUCAGUUAGUCUUGAAAUGUCGUCAUCCAACUGAAAUGAACAAAUUUCAACCAUUAGUGGUGAGAAAUGAUCGGAUAGUUGCACGUAUGCUACUGGUGCCAUCGAAGUAUGGAAUGUCUUCAGUUCAAUUUUCAUAGAGCAAACUCCCAACCAUUAUCAUUUGAGUAAUGAAAUGGGUCAUUUGACACGAUUAUCAACAAGUGAUACUGAUGUUGAUGACGAAAAUGAGAGAGAUGAGGAAGAUGAUGCAAUCGACACAGAUGAGAUUCAUUUACCUAAUGAUGAUGAAAAUUGUUGUCAAACAGAAAAUAUUGAUUUGGUGAUGGUCCAACAAGUUGUGGAAUGUGAAAGCAUAAGAUUUGUGAACCUUGAAGUUGGUGAUAGGUCUAAUAAUCCUGAGGUUGAGUUUGAGGUUGAAAACAUAUCAUUAGUUGCCUCCUCACAUGUACAUAAUUUAAUAUCUCUAAUGACAACCUAGAGGAAACAUUUGUACCCUUUUCAUACCAUAUGCCACCUACACCACAAUUUUUAAAUAUGGACAAGGCAAUUAAUUGUGUUGUAAGUGAUUGGACUCCAUGGAAAAAGCCAACUUUAGGAAAUGUUGAUGGAGAAUUAUCAAUUGGCCAAAUAUUUUCCUCAAAAUCAGAUUUGCAACAUGCUGUGAAGAUGUUUUCCAUAAAGGCGCACCAAGAGUUUACUGUUUAUAGAUCAAAUGCAAGUGUGUUAGUUCUUCAAUGUAAAAAAGCACCAGAGUGCCAAUGGCGACUAAGGGCAAUGAUAGUGAAAGAUACGGGUAUGUUUAGAAUCACAAAGUACAAAGUUCCUCAUACAUGUGUCAAUCCAUGUAUUAAGCAAGAUCAUUCACAGUUGGAUUCUAGCUUUGUAUCUAAGUAUAUUGAAACAUUGGUGAAGGCAGAAAUGACCAUUACAGUUGCUGCAAUUCAAGCUGUUGUUGCGGAACAAUUUGGUUACCAAAUUUCUUAUCAAAAAGCAAUGAAGGCAAAAAGGAAAGCAAUGACUCGAUUAUUUGGUGAUUGGUACAAGUCUUAUGUAGAGUUGCCUCGUUUCUUCCUUGCCUUGGAGCAAUCAAAUCCUGGAUGCAUUAUGUAUUCCAAAAUGGUUCCUGGAAACAAUCCGAAUGAAGAAAUUUUUCAGCGUGUUUUUUAGGCAUUCGCUCCAUCUAUUAAAGGGUUUGCACACUAUCGACCAGUUCUCAGUAUUGAUGGGACACAUUUGUAUGGAAAAUAUAAAGGGACUUUGCUGAUUGCUAUGGGAUGUGAUGGUAAUAACCAAUUGUUUCCACUUGCAUUUUCCAUUACAGAAGAAGAAAAUACAGAUAGUUGAAGUUGGUUUUUGGCAUGUAUCAGAGUUGGAGUACCACAAAGGAAAGGGUUGUGUCUGAUUUCUGAUCGUCAUCCUGGCAUUAUAGCUGUUGUCAAUGAAACAUAUUCGGGAUGGACUCAGCCAGAUGCUUGUCAUAGAUUUUGCAUGCGUCAUUUAGCAAGUAAUUUCAACACAAAGUUCAAAGAUAAGACUUUAAAGGAUCUCAUGUGUAGGGCUGCUAUGGAGAGUAAAGUUAAAAAAUUUAUUUCUCACAUGGAUACAAUUGGCCAGAUAAAUGUCGAGGCUAGAAAUUGGUUGGAGCAAAUUCCUUUUGAAAAAUGGGCACUCUCAUAUGAUGGUGAGCGGAGAUAUGGGAUUAUGACAACUAACAUGUCUGAAGUUUUUAAUGGUGUCCUUAAGGGUGCUCGUAACUUACCAAUAACAGCUUUAGUCCAGUUAACUUUCUAUCGGGUUAACAGUUACUUCACAGUCAGGCGGGAGCAUGGUGCCAGUGAUUCGUCCCUAGCAGCUGAAGUGGCAAUGGCACCAUUUGAUUCGGGGUUCGAUUCCCGGCAACGACGCCAUUUGAUUCGUGCCCAAUUGGUGUCUCAGCUGAUUCGUGUCCAGCUGGUGCUCCUUGAUUGAGGGAGUAAUCAACAAAAUUUAUAACCUAUUACACCAUAUACUAGGGUAGCAAAGACAAAGCUACUAUAGUAUAGUGGCUCUAAGAUCGUUCACUGGGAUGGGUUUUCACUUCACAAUUGAUAUCAAUUCAAAGCUGAAUUGGUGUCUUUUCAUUUCAAGGUUAGCUUUAAAAGAAAACAUAAAGAUGUUUGAAUGAAAAAGGUUGGUUUUAAGCUAACCAAAAAUAGAAACUGAUUUUACUUAUAAAGAAAAGAUGUUUCUUGGAGUUCAGAUCACUAGGCUCAGAUUCCUCAUACAAAAAGGGAGUUCCGGUCACUUGUUUCUUUUCCUCGCAUUAGAGAAUUAACAUAUAGUUCCUUCUCCAACCGGUGUUGUACAGAUGCUUUCCAUUAAUGGGUUCAAACACUAAAUCCCUCUCACUGAUGCACCUUGCAAUGGCUCAUACCUCUCACGAGCACUUACCAUUCAAGAUGAUCUCUAACCUUGGACUUCCCUUCAAAAGCUCGCAAGAGAUAACUAAUGGAUGUCUCCUUGGAGUCCAAAAGCUUACCAAGUGUUGGCUAUUCUAGAAAAUCCUACCUUCAAGUCACCUCCCAAAGGCUCGCAAGGGGUAAACUAGUGCAUCUCCAUGGACGGAAAUCACUUGCCUUACCAAGUGUUGGCCCAGGUGAUUUAAAGGCGUUUUAAGUUAACUAAAAAGAUAAAAACCAUUAACGGGUCACACUUUCUCUUCAUUAAAAACUAAAACAACAAAACUUCCAAAUUAUGCAUGUGGAAACUUACCCGGCUUUCCUUACUCCAAGAGACAAAAAGCUUAGCCUCUCAUCUUCUAAGGAAAAAUCCUCAGAGUUUGGUUGGCUAGAAAUAAAAAGAAAUGAAAAAUGAAAGAGAAGGAAAAACAGAGCAAGGCUCUGUAUAUUCUAUAUAUUGAUCGAUCUGAUUACAUAUAUGAUCUAUGAUGAUUUUACAGUGGAUGCAAGGGAAUAUAUAUAGAGACGUUUUUCCAACUUUCCUCACUAAGAAAUCUUAUGGUUGGUGGCUUACAAGGAGAAGAAUGGAAAUUUAUACAAAAAUAUCUGAAGAAAAGAUCUAAAAGAGUCGGUGCACAAAUAUCAGGAAGCACUAAGGACAUUUCGCAGGUGAAAACGAGGUCUGCGAGAUUUCGCAAACACUCAAGAAGGCUGCGAAAUAUUUUCGCAACAACAAGUUAAACUCGCAGGGCUGCGAAGUUGGCUUCCAACUUGAGGUUCUCAGCGUUCCAGCUUGCGGCAUGUAUCGGGUAGCUUCAGGAGGAAUUCCAUAGCACUGUACAAAAAGGCUGCGAAAUUCUCGCAACAAAAGGCUGAUUUCGCAACACUUUGGAGUGAUCUGCUUGCAAUGGCUAUAACUCCUUCGUUUCAACUUCGAAUUGCACACCGUUUGAAGCAUUGGAUUUUUGACUUCCUGAGCUUUGAAAUGGUAUAUAGAAUGUAGAAAAUGGACUUCAGGAAGUGUUCCAAAAGUGCAAAAGAAGACUGUAGCUAGCUUUCCUCUGUUUUCUUCACUCUAUUUUUCCUCUCUCCAGUACUCUUUCCUUGCAUACUUUGAACGACUUUGGCAAAGGGCUAUGGAGCUCCAAAGCUUGGUUCUUCAUGAAUUUGAGCUUCCAAAAGCUUUGCCAUGAACUAUAUACAAUUCUCCCUCAUUCUUGGAUUGUUUUGGUGAUCAAAUUACUAACAAAAACACCAAAACUUACACAAUUUGAUUAGAAAUGAUUGCAAGGGUCCUUAACAUGUUAAUUGGGUUAAAAGGCAAUAACUACUACUCAAAAGUGUUUAAAAGAGUUAAUUACAAGCUAUCAAAUAGCACUUUUUAAGUAGUAAUCAGCCAGUCGACUCGCUUCAGGUGAAGAAUUCACUCCACAUAUUGACGCCAAGAUAAAGGCUAAAGUUGUUAAGGUGGGUGCACAUGAGGUUCUUUUGUAUCAUCAUGUGGAGGGACGUUUUCAUGUUAAAACUAGACACUCUGUUGGAAGCAGUAAUAGGAAACCUUGCACAUAUCAUGUUACCCUUCAAACGGGGUCUUGCACAUGUAACAAAACACUUUUGUUAGGAUUCCCAUGUUCGCACAUUCUUACUGCUUGUCAUUGGCGAGCAAUUGAUUUUCGACAAUUUGUACAAGGUUAUUACACCACACGUGCUUACCUAUCAACAUGGGCUCCCUUGUUUUAUCCCAUAUUUGAUGAGUUGGAGUGGCCUCAAUAUAAUGGACCGAUAAUUGUGCCUUCAGACUCAAUGAAACGGCUAACUUCUGGUCGACCAAAAUCAAGUCGUUUGCAUAAUGAGAUUGAUGCAGGAGAAACUAGGACUCCACAAACAUGUGGACUUUGCAAGCAAUCAGGUCACAAUCGAUGUUCUUGUCCUAAUAGAGAAACCAAUGAUAGGAGGAGUUGAUGUACUUCAUGAGCAUCUUAUUGUACUGUUUUUUUUUUUUUUAAUUUACUAGUAUUGACCUUAAUCGUUUUAAGAUAUAUGUAGAAACUAUCUUAUUGAACAUCUUAUUGACGUUUGUUUGUUUGAAAUUAUUAUUUUUUGUCAAUUCAUUCUUAUUUUGCUUAUAUCAGGUUACAUGAAAAAAAUAUUAAUCUCUAUUAUUUAGGGGAGAUGUUGUUCAAAUUUUUAAAAUUUUAAUAAUGAAAUUCAUGUUGUUAGAAAUUGUUGUUUUUUUGUCAAUUCAUUCAUAUUUUACUUAUAUCAGGUUACAUUGAAAAAUUUUGAAUCUCUACUGUUUAGGGGAAAUGUUGUUCAAAUUUUUACAAUUUUAAUAAUGAAAUUCAUGUUGUUAGAAAUUGUUGUUUUUUUGUCAAUUCAUUCAUAUUUUACUUAUAUCAGGUUACAUUGAAAAAAUUUGAAUCUCUAUUGUUUAGGGGAAAUGCUGUUCAAAUUUUUACAAUUUUAAUAAUGAAAUUCAUGUUGUUAGAAAUUGUUGUUUUUUUGUCAAUUCAUUCAUAUUGUACUUAUAUCAGGUUACAUUGAAAAAUUUUGAAUCUCUACUAUUUAGGAGAAAUGCUGUUCAAAUUUUUACAAUUUUAAUAAUGAAAUUCAUGUUGUUAGAUAUUAUUGUUUCUUGUCAAUUCAUUCAUAUUUUGUUUAUAUCAUGUAUUGAUGUACAUGCAGACAUGGAUACUCCGUUGUUUCGUGCUCGUCUUGACCCUGAGGAUACAUCUGUGCUUACUCUUCAGCAUUAACAUCGAUCAUCCACCAUUCGUGUUGAUCCAGAUAUGGGUAGUGUUUUGACUUGUCGACACAGGAUGCUUCGAGAGUGGGUUUUGGAUGAUCGUGUUCGGCCAUACAUUAUACAGUCAAGAUUUUAUGUCUUUCAUCGAGUGGGCCAUGUUAAGGUUGAUUGGCCUUUGAUUACUGCACUGGUAGAGAGAUGGCGCCCAGAGACGCACACAUUCCACAUGCCAGUUGGUGAGAUGACCAUCACAUUGCAGGACGUAGCCAUCUUAUUUGGAUUACGUGUACAUGGCCAUCCUGUCACUGGUUCUACAAAUAUUGAUUGGCAUGCACUUUGUGAGGAGUUAUUGGGUGUUCGACUGACAGAGACUGAUAUUCAUGGAGCAUCUCUUAUAGUUCGUUUUAUUACUACCCAUUUCUCCCACUUACCACCAGGGGUUGUAGAUGAGGUUACGUUACAACGCCAUGCUAGAGCUUAUCUUUUAUUGUUAGUUAGUGGUUCAUUAUUUACAGAUAAGAAGGGGGUUUACAUCCAAUUAGCAAUUCUACCCAUGUUAAGAGAUUUUGGUGAGACUGCACAGUAUAGUUGGGGGAGUGCGACACUAGCACAUCUUUAUCGAGAGUUAUGUCGAGCUAGCUUAGAUAGUGCAGAAUCUAUUGCAGGACCAUUACAUUUUUUGCAGGUAUAACUACUAGUCUUAUUAAUUAUGUAAUUUUUUCAUAAUUAUGUGCAUUUAAACAUAAUUUUAUUUCAUUUUUAGCUAUGGUCAUGGGAGCGAUUACAUGUGGGUCUUCCUAGUAAAUCACUUCCCCAUGCACCAGUGCCUGUAGAUGAGAGAUUCCCACCAGAUGCACUAGGGAGUAGGUGGAGAGUUCCCUUAUCUCAUACAGACACUCCUCAUCAUGUGUUGGUCACAUACAGAGAUGAGUUUGAUAGACAGUGAUCUGAUCAGGUUUGGGCUAAAUAUUAGUAUUCUUUAACAUGAACAUCUUAAUAUUAAUAAUAUAAUUUAUACUUUAUUAAAUACAUACUCAUCUAUGAAUAUAUCAGGUAUUAUGGCAGCCUUACACAGAUGAUAUACUAGCGUUGCUUCCAGACAUUUGUUUAGCUGAUCAGGAUAUUUGGCAGACGAUGUCACCACUUUUUUUUUUUUUAUAUUGUUGAGUGGCAUCGUCCUGAGCGUGUGUUGCGACAGUUUGGACUCAUAUAGGGUAUUCCUUCGACACCCCCUAUAGAUUCUGACCUUCACUCCAUAGAUCGACGUGGUCAACCUCAGUUUGAUUGGAGGUUGUAUCAUGAGCACUACGUGGCAUUAUGGGAGGCUAGAGGGGACCACAUUGUCACUAUGGAGCCUAUAGGGCCUCAUAUGGACUACCAUGCUCCGUACAUGACAUGGUAUCGUCAUAUUACACGUCAUUUUAUUACACCUAUGAAUGAUUUUGGACCUAUGCGGUACCAGGCUACUGCUUUAUUUGCCCACUUAUUGGUUUGUAUCACUUUAAUAUUAUGUACAUAUUCUGUAUAAUAUUUAUUCCAACAAAUAAUUAUAUAUCAUUUUAUGUGACAGAUUGAGACUAUGACAUCAAUCAUAUCUCGAGGAGGUCAUGCAUUGGAGGACUCUGAUACUGAUGCUUGCCGCACUGGUAUUGUUGAUAUUAUUCGUAUGGCCACUGAUGUUAUGUGCAUUAUUCGGGAGGAUUAUCGUCUCCCACAUGUAAAGCAUGGAGGAGAUAGGUCACUAGCUCAGUCAACAGUUGCUCGACCACCACUUGUUCGAGGUCGGUCGACAUCUCGAGGGAGAGGUAGAUAUAGUAGUUGUCAGCCCAUCACAUCGUCAGUAUCAGCAUCAUUACAGCCCCCUACCUUUUUAUCGUCACGAUUAGUACAGUCACCCAUCUCUUCAGACGUACCAUCAGUGCAGCACCCUACUUCUUCAGACCCACUAUCAGCCCAACCCCUUACUUCUUCAGACCCACCAUCAGUACAACCCCCUACCUCUUUAGACCUACCUCCAUUACAACCUCUUAUCUCUUCAGACCCACCAUUAGUGCAGAUUGACACAUCUACUCAGCUAGAUUUACCACCAGCCAUUCCGAGGGGUAGGUAGGGCCUACGUCGACCUAGAUUGCUACCUCCACCACCACCUCUAUUUCCAGCUCUAGCCCCAUAACAGACAGAUGUUCUUCAUGUGUCACAUGCAAUACCUGCUACAGUUAGAGAGGAGCGUCCAAAAAGGAAGAGAGUACCAGUUACACAUAGGUUCUCUCCUUGUGGAGGCAUGUGAGAUUAUAUAUGUUUUUUAUUUUCCACUAUAUUAAUGUUUAGUGGAUAUUUUUUGUGACUUUAAUUAAACUAUUAAAAAUUACAUUUUGUAGUAGACUUUUUGUAAUUAAUUUCAUUAACUAAUUUUGUAAAAAAAUCUAUAUAUGACAACUACGGCCUUAGAGUAUGUUAUUAUUUUGUUAAAGAUAAAUUUAUCAUAAUACAAAUAAAUUAAUAUCUUAAAAAUUAACAAAUUAAAUAUCUUAAAUUAAUAAAUUAUACAAUUUUAUAUAUUAUUUAUAUGUUAUAUAAAUUUAUUAUUUUAAGAUUAUUAAUUUAUUAAUAAAUAAAACACUCAUUUAUAAUAUCUUCUAUUUAUUAAUUUAUGUUUGUUGAAGUAAUACUAGAUUUUUAAGUUUAAAUAUAAAUAAUUUAUUAUUUAAGUAUAUUUUUUAAAUUUCAAUCAUAAAUUGUGAUUUAAUAGUUUUUAAUUAAAUUUGAAAGUAAAAAAAAAAUAUUAUAAUUGAAAUCUUAGUUAUCAACUACUAUACUAUUAUUUCGAUAAAGAUAAAUUUAUCAUAAUAUAAAUAAAUUAAUAUCUUAAAAAUUAACAAAUUAAAUAUCUUAAAUUAAUAAAAUAUACAAUUUUAUAUAUUAUUUAUAUGUUAUAUAAGUUUAUUAUUUUAAGAUUAUUAAUUUAUUAAUAAAUCAAAUAUUAAUUUAUAAUAUCUUCUAUUUAUCAAUUUAUGUUUGUUGAAAUAAUACUAGAUUUUUAAGUUUAAAUAUAAAUAAUUUUUUAUUUAAGUAUAUUUUUAAAAUUACAAUCAUAAAUUGUAAUUUAAUAGUUUUUAAUUAAAUUUGAAAGUAAAAAAAAAUAAUAUUAUAAUUGAAAUCUCAGUUAUCAACUACUAUACUAUUAUUUCGAUAAAGAUAAAUUUAUCAUAAUACAAAUAAAUUAAUAUCUUAAAAAUUAACAAAUUAAAUAUCUUAAAUUAAUAAAUUAUACAAUUUUAUAUAUUAUUUAUAUGUUAUAUAAGUUUAUUAUUUUAAGAUUAUUAAUUUAUAAUAUCUUCUAUUUAUCAAUUUAUGUUUGUUGAAAUAAUACUAGAUUCUUAAGUUUAAAUAUAAAUAAUUUAUUAUUUAAUUAUAUAUUUUUAAUUUUAAUAAUAAAUUGUAAUUUAAUAGUUUUUAAUUAAAUUUGAAAGUAAAAAAAAAUAUAUUUGAAAUCUCAGUUACCAACUGCGACUUAAAAGUAUACUAUUAUUUCGAUAAAAAUAAAUUUAUCAUAAUAUAAAUAAAUUAAUAUCUUAAAAAACAACAAAUUAAAUAUCUUAAAUUAAUAAAUUAUACAAUUUUAUAUAUUAUUUAUAUGUUAUAUAAGUUUAUUAUUUUAAGAUUAUUAAUUUAUUAAUAAAUAAAACGUUCAUUUAUAAUAUCUUCUAUUUAUUAAUUUAUGUUUGUUGAAGUAAUACUAGAUUUUUAAGUUUAAAUAUAAAUAAUUUAUUAUUUAAGUAUAUUUUUAAAUUUCAAUCAUAAAUUGUAAUUUAAUAGUUUUUAAUUAAAUUUGAAAGUAAAAAAAAAAUAUAUAUUAUAAUUGAAAUCUCAGUUAUCAACUGCUAUACUAUUAUUUCGAUAAAGAUAAAUUUAUCAUAAUACAAAUAAAUUAAUAUUUUAAAAAUUAAAAAAUUAAAUAUCUUAAAUUAAUAAAUUAUUUAUAUGUUAUAUAAGUUUAUUAUUUUAAGAUUAUUAAUUUAUUAAUAAAUAAAUUAUUCAUUUAUAAUAUCUUCUAUUUAUCAAUUUAUGUUUGUUGAAGUAAUACUAGAAUUUUAAAUUUAAAUAUAAAUAAUUUAUUAUUUAAGUAUAUAAAUUAUAAUUUAAUAAUUUUUUAAUUAAAUUUUAGAUUUAAAUAAAAAUUAACUAAAGUCAUAGUUGCCAACCGCGGCUUUAGUUAAAAAAUGAAGCCGCGUUUAGCAACUGCGACUGUAGUACAAAAAUGAAGCCGCGUUUGCCAACUGUGACUUUAGUACAAAAAUGAAGCCGCGUUUGCCAACUGCGACUUUCACUAUAAUGACGAAAAAAAAAAAAUUUAAUGACAUGGCGCCUACGUGGCAUCAAAGAGGUCAAUUUGAACAGAAGUUUAAAAAAGUGGUUAGAUGUUAUAAUUUUUUUCAAAAAUGGGUCAUUUUGACCCAAAACUCGAAAACGGAGGUAAGUCAGGUCAAGUGGGCCCACCUGACCUACCACAUUAAAUUGUUUGGAAAGUGGAAAUUCAAACUAAAAUUGCCUAGAAAGUGAUUUCCCAUUUGCCUGGAAAUUGCCUUGAAACUGGGAACUCAGCUAGAUUUAAAAGCAACAAACCUGGCUGUUGCUUUUUGAUUUUACACCAAAAACUUUCUCAAUAACCCCAUUUUUUUAAAAGAAAAUUUGAUGGAAACAUUAUAUAUAUAUAUAUAUAUAUAUAUAUAUAUAUAUUAAUUAAUAAAAAUAAAAUUAUAAUUCAAAUAAUUUUUAUUUCCUUUAUUUAUUUACCCUUUUUACCCCAUAAGGGUGAAAAAAAAAAGAAAAAAAAAACUAAAUUGCAAAUAAAAUGAGAAUAGAAAUUUAACAAACAUUUCUUACUUUUUAUUGCUGAAUAUAGGAAUUUACAAGUUGAAGAUACAACUGAUUGUAUUUCUCUUGAUCUCUCUAUUGAUUGCUUUUUGAUCGCUCGCUUGCUUGCUCUAUCAGUUUACAACAAAAAUAUUUACAAAGUUUUCAAAUGUUUAGUUAACAAUAAAUGUAAAGAAGGUAAGAUUUGACUUUUCUUUCUUCUUUACCAUCCGUCUAGUGGCUUCUUCCUUAUCUCUUUCUUCUUUUUUAUCACAUGCAGUAUACAUGGCUUUAUUGAUUAUGGACUUCUAAUGUUGUAUUAAAUUCUUGUAGUUGAAGACAUAUUUCGUGCUUCAAUGUCGUCAUUGCUAACAUCAACGUUCCAUUGCAUUUUGUAGAUUAAAAUAACUUUCGUCGUUAAGGUUUUCCCAAAAUGAUGCAUCAUCGCUGAGGUAAGAAGAUGGUUCUGGUAAUUCUACAUCGAGUUCGAUUAUAAAAUCUUGUUCUUCAGAAGUAAUGAAAGGUUUCAGAACAAUAAUGUGUUCUAAAGGUUUGUUUCUCCAUAUAGACAUUUCUACAAUGAGAUGAAAUAAUUUAUUUCAGGUUGGUUUAAGAUCAUAAAUUUGAAAGGCUCUAAAGUGAGUAAAAAAUUCUGAAAAUUCAUUCGAAUUGGUCAUUUCCCAUUCUGGUUCUUGUUGAGGGAUGAGUGAUUCUUUAUUGUGUUUUAUAUAAACAUGGUGAUAGAUUAGCACUAUUGAUCAAUUGGUUUGAAAUAAAGGUGGAAUGGUUUCAAAAGAAAUGUCGAUUUGUUUUUUGGUUUUUAAAAUUAGUUGUUUAGCUAAACUGUUAACUUUAGUUGAAAGUAUUUAAUUUUAAGAAUAAAAUUUAGAAAAAGUAUAAAUCUAAAAUAAUCCUAUAAAAUUAGGAUUGGAUAGAUAAAUUCUAAACAUAAAACAUCAUUGCAUGAAAUAUUAUACAUAAAAUGUGAAAUACAUAUCAUGAAUUUUAUUUUAUAUUUAUAAUAUUAAAAAUAAAAUAGAAUUAACAAAAAUAAGUUAAAAUUAUUUUAUUAAUAUAUAUUGACAAAUAAAAGAUAAAAAUUAUAAUAUAUAUAUUUAGAAAAGUUAAAAUGAAAAAAGAGAGACAAUUGUCACACAAUGGUCUCCCUUUGUCACACAAUGGAGAGACCUUGUCAAUCGGGAAUGAAGUUACACUUUUAAAAAUUACUAGUAGAAAGCACGUGCGAGGCACAUGAAGAUGUACGUAGGUAUAUGAUUGUGAAUGUGCAGAUAAAUGGAAUGAAAGAUAUAAUGUUUGAAAAGGUAAUUAGUAAGUGAAUUAUCUUUUAAUAUAGAUAUAAUAAUUUAAAUUUCUUUACUUUUAAUAAUCUAUAAAUAAUUUUAAAUUGAUUAACAUAAUAUAUAAAAUGACGUAAUAUACCUAUAAUUUAAUUAAUCCAUAAAUAAUAAUUAUAAAUAGAAAUAUCAAAAUAUUAUCAUAUUUGAUUAUAGUAAUAGAUACUAUAUAUAAAUAUAUUAUUAUAAUAUAAGAUGAUAUUUUACCUUUCUUUAAAUUCUUUAUAUUUUUAUAAUUUAGUAAUUAAGUUAGUUAUUAAACUUAUCUUAAAGAUCAUAUAUUUGUUUUUUAAAUUUUAGUUUCUUGUUCAUCAAUAUUUCAAAUAAAUUAUUUAAAUUAAAAUUUAUUAUUGUAACUCAAGGAUGUACUUAAAGAAAAAUAGAUAGAACAUAAAAAAAUAUGUUAUUAUAGUCACGAUUUAGGUAAAAUCACAACCAAACAAAUAUGUGUCAUAAUUUACAAGUUUUGUAAUCCACCAUUGUUGUAAUGUACUCUUUUAACAAAUUUACUUAGUUGGUUUCUUCCAUAAGUUUGAAGCAAUACCUGUUUAUCUUUGUAAUUGCCUGAGUUAAAUUCAUUUCUUUUCUCUCUUGCAAAAAAGUUAUAUAUAUUUUAAAAGGUAUUAGGUGAAACAGAAAAAUGAUGCUUUAACCAUCGGUCAAACUAGUGAACCAUGAAUUAGUAAUUUUUUUUUAUUCAAUGACUGAUUUUAUUCUAAAAACAUUGAUUUAAAAGAUUUCAAAUUAACACUACCUAAAGGCAUUGAUAUAUAUGUAGAGGCUUUGGGUGUCAAUUAAGCCUAAAUAUUUAAUUGCAUCUCUUCUAGUAUUUAGGCAUGCACACAUGAUACAACUUUUUGUUUGAAUUAUAUUACAUACUAAUAAUAUUAUUAAAGAAAACUUAGAAAUAAACAUUUAAUGACUCAAAUUUUCUUUAUUUCUGAAAUUAAAUUAUACUUCUCUUCUUUAAACAAUUUUUUCAUAAAUGAAUGUGUUCAGACAUUUUUCAAGAUCUAUUUAUCUCGAUAAACAUAACUUUCAAAAUUUUCUUUUAACUUCUCUUCAUUUAUAUUCAUAUUUGUUUUGAAUUAAUUUUGAUUUAUCUAUUAAAAAUUAGUUGUAGUUUACAUUCUUUGUAUAAUAUUUAUUAUCAUCAUCAUUAUAAUAACAAAUAAAUGAUUAAAAAUAUUUGUUCAAAAAUGAGGUUAAAAAAUUUUAUAUAAGAAAAAUAAAAUGUGGUAAACUUGUUUUUAGGCAAACCCUUAAAUAUUUUCAUUAAUUAAUAAUUAUUUUAUUUUAUUUUUUUUUACAAAUUUUCCAAAUUCAUGUGAUAUAAUUUGAGUGAAAAUUUAUUAAAAACUCGAAAGAAAAAUAAAUAUUUGAUAUAUUAAUAAUUUAUACUUCUAGGUAAUAAAAUCUUCUUGUCCAACUCACGUAUUCAAUUAAUAAUCCUAAAUAUAUAAGAUAAUAAUUUUUUUAGAAAUUCUUAAGAGUCCAAUAAAAUAUAAAUUAAUAACUAAUGAAAUAUGUAAAGAAAAAAAAAUCAUAAUGCAAACUUUCUCAAAAUAUACAUUGAAAUUUUAAGUGUCUGCUCAUAAAAAAACAAUGAAAUCCCAAAUCCCAAUUUUAGCGAAGAAGAAGAAAUGUGAAUCCCAGGCUUUCAACUUCAAAACCGGAGAAAAGAAUGUACAAUUUAUUCAAAACUUUUAGGCCCCACUUAAAAACAUGGAAAAUUUGACAAUAAUGAAACCGCAUGGAAAACGGAGGUAAGUCAUGUCAAGUGGGCCCACCUGACCUACUGCAUUAAAUUGUUUGGAAAGUGGGAAUUCAAACUGAAAUUGCCUGGAAGUGAUUUCCCAUUUGCCCGGAAAUUGCCUUGAAACUGGGAACUUAGCUGGAUUUAAAAUCAGCAAACCUGGUUGUCAGUUGAUCAGCAACAACUGUGAAAACAAGUAAUGGCUGAAAGUAUUGUCACCGUUUUUCUAGAGAAGUUAACUGACCUGCUUUCCCAGGAAGCAUUUCUACUCAGCAGAGUGGAAGAGCAGGUGAAUCUGUUGAGUAUUGACCUCGAAUGGAUGCGCCAUUUUCUCAAAGACGCGGAUGCGAAGCGCAGAUAUGAUCCAAGAAUCAAGCUCUGGGUGAGUCAGAUCAGGGACGUAACCUAUGACGCCGAAGAUGUCAUCGACAGGUUCAUGUUCGAGAUGAAUCACCAACAGCAAGGAAGUCUCAAAUGCCUCAAGUUCCUUAAGUUACGAUUGGUUCACAAGCUCGAGUCUCGAAUCAGAGAGAUCAAUACCAAGAUUGAGAAGAUCAAGGCUGCCAAAUCAACGUUCGUUGUCGAAACCUUACCAGCUGCAAGCUCGCCCAACGAAGUUGUGCCACAUAGAGAGAGGAGGGCUCCGAUUGUGGAAGAAGUCAACGUGGUGGGAAUUCAAGAGGAUGCAAAAAGCGUCAAGCAAAAGCUGCUUAAUGGAGAGAUGCGGAGAGCUGUGGUGUCCAUCGUGGGCAUGGGUGGCUUGGGAAAGACUACCCUGGCUAAGAAAGUCUACAAUGAUAAUGAUGUCCAGCAAUGCUUUGAUUGUCAUGCUUGGAUUUAUGUCUCUCAAGAGUAUACAAUCAGGGAGCUUUUGCUGGGCAUUGCUGUUCGUGUUGGGAUUCUCUCCGAAGAGGAAAGGAGUAAAAUGAACGAGAGCGAUUUGGGGAAUAGUCUUCGUGAUUACCUGACUACCAAGAAGUACUUGAUAGUUAUGGAUGAUAUGUGGAGAAAUGAAGCUUGGGAUAGGUUGGGCUUGUAUUUUCCUGACUCGGUGAAUGGCAGCAGAGUAUUGAUCACCUCACGCAAUAAAGAGAUUGGUCUU
rnacentral:lncRNA from 1 species